rnacentral:lncRNA from 1 species
AUUUUAGUAUAUGCGGUUAUAAAUUAAAUUUUUUAUAUGAAAUUUUCAGGUAAUAACUGGUCAGAGGGUCUUCGGCUUCCUCCGUUUGGCAGUAUUGCUGAUGAUGAUGUCAUGAACGACAAUCUUGAUUUUCUUAAUGUCCCCCAAUAUGGAAGAAACCCCGACUACAUGGGUUAAGUGCAGCACUGCUUUUUUUUUUUUUCUGUUUUGUUUAAUUAAAUAAAUGAUAGGUAUACUAUUACCUAUCAAUCAUGACAAUGUUUUAGUAUGGUUUAGUUCAACUUAUAAGAUUUCUUGAGACGUACAAGCAAUCUUUUUGUUUACUUUUGAGCUAAGUAUUUUCCUGAAAAAGGAAAUAAAUCAAUAAAAGUUAUUGUGUGUGUCAACAUAUUGGUUCUAUUAGUUUAUACACGUCGGUUUUAAUUACGAUCUCUCUUCCUAAAUGUUGUACUUUUUUUUGAAAUAAACUCAAAACUUUGUUGUAUAAAAAACUCUUAUCACUUUCAAUCAUAUGAUGGUUACAAUUUAAUCAUUUAUUCAUAACAUCCUCCUGGUCCUCCAUUGAGGAUAUUAAAGUGUGCCAUUCUGUAACCCAGAACUAUCAUUUCUUCCACCUCUACGAUAUCUUGUAAUGUUACUUGCAGCUUCAUAAGCCACAGAAACAUCAUCAAAAUCAACAAAUUGUUUUUUUUUUUUUUUAGGAAAGUAAUAAGAAAAAUAAAAGCUGCAUUAUUUUAUUGGCCACAUUGGACUCCUAGGCCGGGUAAUCUUGUCAUCUCUACUCGUAGAGUCUUCUCCCAUGGUACUUGCAUGGUUCCAUCUUUUAACUCUAGUAGUAUUUUGUUUGGAAAAUACCCCAAUAUAAUAUCUUCAUUCAAGAAAAUUGAGGACUGAAUUUGUGGUGCUUUUAUCAUAUUAAAUUACAUUUAAUUAUCAAUAUUUAUUGACUGAAAUCAGAAGGGUGUUUGAAUCAGAUAUGAAUUCUCUCUUAAUCAAUUUUUUUUUCUAAAUUUUGUAAGAUAUUAUGGCAGAUUUCAUUUAAAUUGUUUUAUAGUUAGGAUUUAAUUUAUUUUGGGCUUUCCUUAUUGUUUGAAUCCGAUGAAUUUCAUAUCAUCUUGCUGGUGCUUCUUCUGAUCUUCUUCUCCCUCCCUCUCUCUCACUUUUUUUCUUCUCUCUCACAGACCUAAAACUUUGACGAGCAAAUUUGAAAACGAAAUAUCAGGACGGAAAAGCCUCAACAUAUUAAAAAAUUCGGAUAAUUUAACUCUCGUAGCAUUGAUGAAUUUUGGUGUUCUGAUGCGAUUCAAGUUUCUCAUAGAGCCAAAAAAUGGCAAUUCAAGCCAAUUUUUUUAUCCAUCAAUUGAAAUACAUGUUACAUAUGCAGCAGCCCGUAAUCGAAAAUAACUUAAUUUGUUUUAAAAAUUCUUUAUGUUAGACUAGAAAUGAAUCCAUUCUUGUUAUUGCGUAUCUGCAAUUUAACUUAUGCUGCUAGUUUACAAUUUAUUUUAUUCACAUAAAUGAUCGUUCCUUUUUCUUAUUCUCAAUUAAAUUUUGGUUCCUAGAAUGAUAGUUAAAAAAAUUAACAAUAAUAAUCGAUGUCGCAGAUCAAUUAUCAAAGUUUGUUUGUGUGAACAAGAAAUAUGAGAAAAAGUUUGUUAGUUAAUUGUCUCUUAGUUUUAGAAUUUUGAUUAACCAAUAAAACAACGUAUUUUAUUGUUUAAUAAAACAAGUUCAAAGUAAAUUCAAUCCUAGUCAUAUUUUGAUAUUUUUAUUACAUCGCAAUUAAAUUUAAGACAAACCACAUUUCGGCAAUUAAAUUUAAGACAAGCCACAUUCUCCACAUGAAAUAUUUUUGUCGCGUCGUGAUUAAAUGAUUGAGUCUCACGUAGAAGUCUGUCACUAACCAUAUAUUUUUAUAAAUUUAUCAACACAAAAAGAAAAAAAAAAUGAAGUAUUUGAAAUUUAUCUGGGGCUAAGCAGUAACAUUGGAUGUUGCCUCGGAUGUCCUAUAUCAAGGGCCCGAUUAAUAAAAUUUUGGGCCCUAGGCAAAAUUUCUAAAUUAGCCCUUUUUAUUUAAAUGAAAGUUAAUGUGAGAUUAAUUUAAAUUUUUACGAUUAAUAUGAAUAAUUUAUUUUUUUAGAUAUAAUUCCUUUACAUAGUUUGUAUCUGUAUUAUUUCAAAGAUUUUUUUGGGUUAUGUUUAAGCAGGCUUAUUUUUGAGAGAUUAUGAAGAAUAAGAGAUUGUGUUUCAAUUGGAAAUAACAAAAAUUUCGUUGCAUAAUUUUUUUUAAGCAUUAAAGAAAUAAGUUAUUGACGGAAAUUUCACUUUCAACAUAGAGAAUAUCCAACAUUUUAAACAAGAAAAUAAAUAAAUUCUGAUUUUUUAACUGAACUAUAUAUUGAGGUGGGGCCAAAAUUUUUGGAGAGCAAAUAUAAUAACUCAAUUUCUAAAUAAUGAAUAAUGACUCAAUUUCUAAAUAAUGAAGUAAAACAUAAAUUAGGGUUUUAGUAGGAAAGUAUAUUAGAUGGGACCUUGAUUUUAGGGGAAGGCAUAGGCAGUUGCCUAAAGAGUAGAGCUUCUAACACCCCUUUUAAACUUGUAACAAACCCCAAUUUUUUGUUUUUUUAAGUCUCUUUCUUUUAUGAAAAAUACAGAAAAGGACAUAAAGUUAUAAUGAAAUUUUAAUUGAACUUCACUACUGUAUAGAAUACAUUUUGUAAACAAAUUUUUCAUAAUAAAUUUUUUAAUAAAUAAUUUAUUUCUUUGUUAUUUUGUUUUUAUCAGCAAAUUAAUUAUAAUAUCAUAGGAUUAGCAAAUAGUCAAGAUUCAAGAUUUGUUAAGCUAUUUUAAUGUAAUCAAAUUCAUAUUUUUCCUUUUAGUAAUUCUUAGUAAUAAUAGAACUAUUAUUUUAAAAGUAGGGUGAUGCAAGAAUAUUAAAACGGUGUGAAAAGCAUUACUCUUGCCUAAAUUAUUCCAAGGUUGAACCGGCGUGUCUAAUUACCACCCUCUAGAGAAAGGGGAAAUUUUUUUUCCGAAGACAACCAUGUUUUGGGUAUUUCUACCGACACUCUACAAAAUAAAUGCUGGAAGAAAAUUAAUACUCUAUUAAUUGUUAGGGACAAAUCACACUUCCGUUGAGAAUAGACCUUCAGUUAAGUAUACCGGUUUCGACAUCCCUCGACUCUUGAGCUUUUCUUUGAAUAUAAGUUGGGUUCGUGGGUUUUUAUAUAAUAUCAGAGUUAGAAUCGUACAUAAGUGAGUCCACACUACCUUACCACAUCGAUUGAGAAUAAAUAUUGAGUUCAAUAUUAAACCUUCAACCACAAGGAUAAAACUAAUUAAGGCCCUUGAGGGGCUUCAAUACAUCCUCAACUAUUAAAUUCAUGGAAAUUCAUAUUAAUUUAAUGGAGUUGAACUUUUGGCACCCCUUUGAAUAUGUCUUAAAACACAUUUUCUUUACUUAUCCCAUUAAAAUUGUAUAAAGAUUGCACACUUUCUCAUGAAAUCCCUAUGAUUCUAAAAAUAACCCUGAUUUCUUGUUAAAUAAACACCAAUGCAGAUGCGGCAAUAAAAUAGUUAAUUUAAAAAAAAAUCCCUAUCUGAGAGACAGAAAGCUAGAGGAUUUCAAUAUGGAAUAUUUAUGAUCAAUAGAAGAAUUCAAGUGACUGGAGAAAAUUCAGAUUGUUCAAAAUGGGUUCUCAAACGAGAUAAGCCUCAGGUAGUAGACCUCACCAACAUCAGUACCAGACUCAAUCCAUAGAAUCGGUCUCGUCUUAAGCCUAACAGCUCCCUUUUAAUAUAAUCUAGUGAGAACGGUGAGGUGCUUGGUAUAUCAUACACCAAAAAUCAACGAUGCUUGGACUUUCAAGAAAAAGAGAAAAACAAAUGCAUGCAGGGGGAAACGUACUAAUUAAAAGCAAAUCAUAUAAUUUACAAAUUAUUAUAGGCUUGUAGCCAUAAGAUCGAGAGAAACUAAAACAUUUCUUGCAUUUUCUGGCCAUAUUUUCUAAAUGAAGGGAUGGUCCAUUGCUGCUCUGCCAUACUGGAUCUCAAGAUGUCAUUAACAAUAGGUCUCAAGAUGUCGCUAACAAGGUGUCACUCUGAUACCGACAGGUCUACCACUUAGACAUAACACUUGCCAUAUAAAAUUUUCUCCUAUUUUUGCUAUUUCCUUCGUAUCUUGCAUUGAAUUAUUGCCAGCAAAUGAUAUUUCGAGUCAAAAAAGUAUAUUCAAUUAUUGCAUAUAUGCUCCUAGGUAAUUUGCACAAUUGAAUUAUAGCUGUUAAUCUACUUAUUUACACAAAUGAUUAAUUGUACGCAUCCAUUGCAAGACUUUCGCACUAGGUUUCAAUUUCAACCACAAAUCCUACCUCUAGAUAAAAAUGAUGUGGUCGUAGAGAUUUCGAAUGUAUUCACUUUGUGAUUAACGGAAGCAUUGCUUUCAUUUGUAAGACGUUAAAUCAUCAUUUUGGUAAAGGAAAAAGAAUGAAAAAAGCUGCACUAUUUUAAAGGCCAUUUGGUAUAUGACCACUUCCCAUUGGACUUGGAGACCGGGUAAUUUUGUCAUCUCCACUCCUAGAAUCUGCUCUCAUGCUACUUGCAUGGUUCCAUCUUUGAAGUCUGGUACUGUUUUGUUUGGAAAAUACCCCACUAUAAUAUCUUCACGAAGAAAAUUGAUCCCCGUUAACUAGCGUGAUUAGCUUAGUUUCUUAAAUUCAACGUUCGUUUGGUUAAUUGUCUGUUAGUUUUAGAAUUUUGAUUAGCCAAUAAAACAAUGAGUUUUAUUGUUUGAUAAGGCAAGUUGAAAUAAAUUCAAUCCUACUCACAGAAAAAUUUAAAUGACACAUAUCAUAAUCUUUUUCAUAUCUUCAGAAAAAUUAAAUCAUAAGAGGAUCAUGAACAAUUUGAUGAUGCUCUGAAAUAUAGUCUUCUGUUUUUCAAGGAAAAAAUAAGGAAGUUAAAAACAUGUUUAUCAGGUUUUUCAGAGAUCAUUUUGACGUUUUUGUUUAAAAACAUGAAAAUUGUUCUUAUUCUCGUAAACCAGAAAAAAUUAUCUGGCCGGUUAGCUAAUUAUUCUUGUUCUUCUGUUCUUUUUUAUUUGAAUUGUUUCUCCCUUUUCCAUUCAUUUUUCACUAUGAAAUUAAUUACUAAUUAAUCUACAGUUAGUUUCUUUACAGCUAAUAGGAACGUGAUUUAUGCCCGAAGACUCGCAUCUUUUUGAUUCAUUAUCUACAGUGCCUCACCUCCAAUCUAUGUAUAGGCGGACAUGCAUAUUUAUUAUAUCAAAUAAGUUAUUGAUGGAAAUUUCACUUUCGAAAUAGAGAAUUAUCCUUAAUUAAAUCUUUGUGGGCCUAAAUUCGAGUAAGAUUUAAUGAUGUAUGAUUCAAAAUUAUUGAAAUCGGACAUUUUAAACAAGAAAAAAAUAAAAAAUCUUGUUCUCUUUUUUAAAUAAUAAAUUUCAUUUUGAUGGAUUUUUAAUAUUAAAUUAGACAUUUGCUAAAUUGGCUCAAAUAUAAUAGAUCUUAGACCUUGCUUUUAAUGGAUUUAAUUAGGUUUUGGGCAUUUAAAUUAUACAACUGGAGACAGAAUUUAUAAAUAGAUAAGAUUCUAAUGUGAUUUUAAAAUAAUUUUGAACUUGAACUUGAACUUGAUGCAUUUAAUUAAUCCAGAAAGGUAAAUUUAUAAUUUCAACUUUUAAAUAAAACAUAUCCUUUGGAUUUUUUACAUAAACUAGAGGCAAUUGUACAAUAUUUACUUGACUAGUGGUAUAUAUCCCAAAUUUUUUAUCCUAAGAAAUGCCACAUCAUUUGGUUGAUGAGGAUAAUAUAAUUAAUUCACUUAGAUAUUAUAAAAAAUUAUCAACCAAUCAAUGAAUAACAUAUCAUUUUCAUUGGGAUGAAAUUUGAAAAAAAAAUUUAGGACGUCUAUCAUUACUUUAGUAAGAAAGCAUAUUAAGAUGGACUGACAUGUUUGGAUGCCCCAGCCUAAGAUGCAAGAGAUCAAUUUCUUUUGUUGUCUUGAAAUCCCUACUAUUUGACUCAACAACAUUGGCAACAUUUAACUCAUUACUACUAGAACAAAAAGAUAUCAUAGACAAAGGAUUGCUAAUGCAAUUUAUUGACUCAUACUCUAAAGAUAGAGGUAACUCAACAGCACAUUCAAUCUUGCGCUACUCAUGCACAUUAGCUCAUAUAGCCUAUCUUUAGUCACUCCUUUCAUUAGGAUUUUCACUUGGCUAAAGCAAGUAGAUUUUUGAAGCACAACAUCAAUAUCAUUAUCACGGAACAAUUUUGAGACAUUAAUAAGGUUCUUAGUAAUGCUAGGCACAGACAACGAGCUGUUUAGUUUAAUCUGUUUGUGUGGAUCAUAAGUGAGCAAUAUAGAGUAUCCAAUAUGAGAAAUCAAAAGUUUAUCACCAUUUCCAACAGUAGCUCAUCAUUACCUUGAUAUUAUGAAUUAAAGCUCAUGCUUCCAAUAGCACUGGUUGCAUGAUUUGUAGCACCAUUGUCAAGGUACCAAGCUCUACUAUUCUCACCGUCAACUGCAACCACAUAUGCUCUUCUUGGAUCUCUUCUUCUAUUUGGCUGUGGAACUGAUAUGAACCCUAUUAAGAACUAACAUGACCCUAACCAAUUUAGUCUCUAAGAUUGAAACCAAUUUUUUAUUUUUUUUAGAAGAGAUUGAAACCAAAUCUAAAAUUGAAUGGAACCGCGAUUUGAUCUCAAUGAAAGUACGAACCUUGGUAUGUGAUGACGCCACAAUCAGCUAUGGAUGAUCUUAUUGAUAAGUCAAGAGUUUGAACGCCACAGAAAUCCGAUAAAUUCAAAGGGUUAGUUUAAGAACCAAAGAGAAUUAGCUUUCUCACCAAUUGCAUCAAAAUUGAUGCCUUUCUUAUUGGAUACGAGUACAUUAGAUAGGGUUGGUUUAUAAGAAUUUUAAGAAAUAAAUCCUAAACCAAAAUCAAAUCAGAAUCCUAAUUUAAAGCAAAUAAGGAAAGAAACUAAAUCAAACCAGAAUCCUUAUUGGCUUAAAUGCCUUGCAUCAAUUAAAAAUGGAAACAAGGCAAUUAAAAGAGAAAUAAUUGAUUCGUUUUGCCACUUGCCUACUCAAGAAAUGGGAAAGUAUCCUAAAAGGAAAGUAGUAUAUUUUCCAAACGAGAAAACAUCUGAUAAGGUAAAUAAUGUAUUUUCUUGCCAUAAUGUGCAAACCAACUUGCUGAUUUUAUGGAAAUGAUUAUGUGGAAACUUAAAAAGCCUGAAUCACGUAUUUAGUGGUCUGAAUAUCAUGUGCGCUUUCUUCAACGGGCCUCCACGAAUUUGAUUGAGCUCAAGUUGCUUAAAUCAACCCAUUAAGCGAUUUUUUGAAUUUUUUUGCACGAGCUCUUGUGAUGGGUCCAACAGGAACUUGAAUGGGAUAUGAAUAUACCUCAUCCCAUGUGCUUGUGACAGUUUUGUCCUCAAUAUCAUAUUUUUUCCUUCAAAGAAACAAUUUUGCUUCAUAUGGAAAAGGAAAUUCUUAUGUAGCCUUACAUGAUUUAUACAUAAACUCAUAAUAUUUGUGUAGUCCUUCAUGAACAUGUGAAAUAUACACUUAUAUAGUGAAUCCUUCAUGAGCAAGAUGUUAGUGAAUAACAUCAUAAUUUUGGAAUAGUCUUUCAGGAACAUAUUUUGAAAGAAAAUCUUCAUUAUGUAUAGUGCGAUCCUUAGAGAUGCAUUCUUAAUUUUCUUUCAUUAUAUAUUAUAAUAUUCAUACUUUAGGAUGAAUAUUUUGAAUUUCAAGAAUAGAAAAUAUAUAAUAGCAAUUGAAUAUUAUAAUAUAAAAAAUCAAACAAUAACAAAAUCAAUCAAUGGAACAUUAAAUAAAUGUUGGAAUCCAAAUCUCAUAAAAUAUAUGUAAUCAUUAAUAAAGGAAGUAUUAGAACAAGAAUCAAUCGGUCCUUGAUCUUAGCCACUAACUUAGCAUAUUGUAAUAUUCAUUCUCCUUUAUAUUCUUUCCUUUUCUAUUAUUUGACCGUUUGGUACUUGCCUUAGAUGAUUCUAGUAUUUUUGUAUAUAAGGAUCUUGUACACAGCAACAAAUAUAUAUGAGCAUUUCCACAAUUCUUUACAUGGUACCAGAGAAAAUUUUGCUCAUUUAUGCUUUUCUCUUUGACAAUCAUGUCUAGUAGUUUGAAUCCAAUAUCAGAAACAUCAAAUUCCCUCAUUACCGAUGCUUCUUCACCAUACUUUCUUCAUUCAUCUGAUCAUCCUGGAGCCAUUCUUGUAUCUAAUGUGCUAAUGGGUGAUAAUUAUUCAACAUGGAAAAAAUCCAUGAAGAUGGCAUUAAAUGCCAAAAACAAAUUGGGUUUUAUUGAUGGAAGCAUACAAAAACCUUCAUCAACCUCACAAGAUUUAAAAACUUGGGAGCGAUGCAAUGACAUGGUCCUUUCAUGGAUGCUCAAUGGAAUAGAGAAAAAUCUUGCCAACAGCCUCAUUUAUUGUGAUACUCCACGCUCUCUUUGGCUUGGGUUGGAAGAACGUUUUUCACAAAGUAAAAAUCAUUAGUGAUUUAUUUUAAUACUUUGAAAUUUUAUUAGGAUGAAUUGUCCACAUUAACCACUAUUUCUUCUUGCAAGUGUGAAACUUCAUAUGAAUUGCAGGGAUUACUAGAGACUGAAAAGGUGUUUCAAUUCCUAAUGGGUCUCAAUGAUUCAUAUUCUUCGGUACGAAGUCAAAUCUUAGCCAUGGAACCACUUCCAAAUGUUGGAAAACCAUAUUCAAUUAUUCAUCAGGAAGAACGUCAACGACUUCUCCAUGUUUCCAGUCAACCAUCCAUUGAAUCAACAGCCUUGACAGCCAAUAAUAAGACUCAAAUGACCGGCUGUCAAAAUCAUUCACAUUGUGAAGCCAGCAAGUAGUUAUAUUCUGUUUAAUUGAAUGAGGUGGCAUGCUGAGUUGGCAUAAGAUCCUUGAGUCUGUUAAAUCUGUUAAUGAAGAAUAACAGUUGGCACUCUUCUUUCGUAGCUAAGGAGUUAUAAAAGGGCAGCAAGGAGAUACAUUGGAGAUACGAGUGUAUGAGAGAUUCUUGGAGUGAGAUAUAGAACUUUUGUGAGAAGUUAAUAUCUCUGUAAUCUCAUCAUCUUUUGUAAACCAUCUUUCAUUCUAAAUAAAGCUUAGAGCUGUGCUGUUUCAACCGUGGAUGUAGGCUUUUUGUGGCCGAACCACGUUACAUCUUCUUGCCUUUAUCUUUUAUAUUCUUGGUAUCUUUGGUUGUUUGGUUUAGAUCUUUAGUGAGAAUACAUUUGUUCGUAUGCUUGUUUUCUUAAAGAAGCUUGAAAGUGCUGGGCUAAGUUCUUAACAAACUGGUAUCAGAGCCAGAAGGGCACUCUGUUCUUGAUCUGGCAUAAUGGGCAGCACAAGAUUCGAUCUUGAAAAGUUCAAUGGAGAGAAUGACUUCUACCUGUGGAGUCUGAAGAUGCGAGCCAUUCUGAUUCAACAGGGCUUGGAUAGUGCCCUCGAUGAUGACUGCGAAUCAAAGUCCAAAAGGGAAAAGGAAGAAGGAUCUUCAAGUUUGGGUGGAGACUCAAGGACUAUAAACAACAAGGCUCACAGCACUAUCAUUCUACACUUGUCUGAUGAAGUGCUGAGAGAAGUAGCCAAAGAGAAGACAGCCUCUGGUUUGUGGGCUAAACUAGAAGAACUCUUCUUGAAGAAAUCUUUGGCUAAAAGAUUGUACAUGAAGAGGAAACUCUACACGUUUUCAAUGAAGGAAGGGACAUCCAUGAAAGACCACCUUGAUGAGUUCAAUAAGUUGAUACUCGAUCUUGAAAACGUUAAUGUCAUGCUUGAAGAUGAAGAUAGAGCUCUUAUUUUGUUAAGCUCACUACCUGACUCCUAUGAGCAUUUCGUGGACACCUUGCUCUAUGGGAGACAGACCCUCACAUUGAAGGAUGUCAAGAAUGCUCUCGAAUCUAAAGACCUAAAGAAAAGAUCAGACUUCAAGGAUCAAGCUAUAGGAGAUGGUUUGUUUGUGAAAACAAAAUCAGAAAAGAAAGGAAACAAAGAUAAGAAGAACAAAAAUCAGAAAGAAAAAGAUGACAAGAAGAAGAAGAAAAGAAAAUGCUACUUCUGUCAAAGAGAAGGACAUUACAUCAAAGACUGUUUCGAGAAAAAGAAGCUAGAAAAGCUGCAAAAGGAGACAAAUGGAAAAGCAGCAAUUGCAUCUGAAGAUGAAGAGGAUGCUGAAGGUGCUGAUGUUCUCAUUGCAGCAGAUAAACAACCCACAGCUGAAUGGAUUCUUGAUUCUGGAUGUUCCUUCCACAUGUGCCCAAAUAAAGAAUUCUUCAAGACCUUCUAGAACAUAAAUAGUGGGAAAGUGUUGCUGGGAAACAACCUUGCUUGCAGAGUCACUGGAAUGGGGACUAUCAACAUUCAGAUGUUUGAUGACAAAACCAGGGAGCUUAAACAAGUAAGGUAUGUCCCUGAACUAAAAAGAAACCUGAUCUCUCUUGGGAUGAUGGAUAAAUUGGGUUGUAGCAUUAAGGCUGAAGAUGGAAAAAUUGAGGUCUUAAAUAAAGGUGAAGUCAUAAUGAAGGGUGUUAGAAGGAAUGGUUUGUAUGUGUUAGUUGGGUCAGUGCCUCAGCUUGGAGUAAAUGCUAACAUAAAUAGUGAUAAAACCAAGCUCUGGCACAUGAGACUUGGACAUAUGAGUCAAAAAGGUAUGAAGGAGCUGGAGAAACAAGGUCUGUUUGGCCAUGAUCAGAUUUCUCAACUGGAAUUCUUUGAAAAGUGUGUGUUUGGUAAAGCCACUAGACUUAAGUUUAACACAAGUAAGCAUGAAACCAAACAGACCCUGGACUACAUACAUUCUGACAUCUGGGGUCCCUCCCAAGUUUCAUCCCAUGGUGGAGCUAGAUACCUUAUCACCUUCAUAGAUGACUACUCAAGGAAGCUUUGGGUUUACAUCUUGAAGCAUAAGAGUGAAGCCCUAGAUAAAUUCAAGGAAUGGACAACUCUAAUGGAAAAUCAAACUGGGAGGAAAGUAAAAAGGCUCAGAACUGAUAAUGGGCUAGAAUACUGCAGUAAUGAGUUUGAUGAAUUCUGUAAAAGGUUGGGCAUUGCAAGACACAAGACAGUAAGACAUACACCUCAGCAAAAUGGACUUGCUGAAAGGAUGAAUAGGACCUUGAUUGAAAAGGUCAGAUGCAUGCUGUUGAGCUCAAAUCUCCCCAAGCAUUUUUGGGCUAAAGCUGCUGUUACAGCUGCAUAUCUCAUUAGCAGAAGUCCAUCAUCAGCUCUGGAGUUCAAAACACCUCAGGAAGUCUGGUCUGGGAAGCCACCUGAUCUCAGCAAUCUGAAAGUCUUUGGUUGCCCUGCCUAUGCUCACAUUAGACAGGGCAAGCUGGAACCAAGGGCUGUGAAAGGUUACUUUAUAGGGUACCCUGAGGGCGUUAAAGGAUACAAAAUAUGGAGCAUAAAUGGGAAACCCACCAGAACCUUUAUUAGCAGGGAUGUUGUUUUUGAUGAGGAAGCCCUGACACAGUCAAAGGUUGAGACUGAAAUAAUCAAUACAAGCUCUGAAGUAAAGGGAGUUGUUGAGCUGGAGGUGGAGUCACCAAAAGAAGCAAAACAACAUCCAAAACAAACACAUUCUGAAUUGGAAGGAUAUCAACUGACUAGGGAUAGAAUAAGAAGAACCAUCAAAAUGCCUGAAAGAUUUGGAGUUGCAGAUCUUAUAUCCUAUGCUUUGGCUGUGGCUGAAGCUGAAACAAGUGAGGAACCUGCAACCUACAAGCAAGCUAUGAGAACCAAGGACAAAAGAAAGUGGGUUGCUGCCAUGGAAGAAGAAAUGGCCUCACUCAGAAAGAAUAAGACCUGGACUUUAGUAAAGAAACCAGCUAACCAAAAGCUAGUAGGCUGUAAAUGGAUAUAUAAGAUAAAGGAGGGAGUCUCAGAAGCUGAACCAGCCAGGUACAAGGCCAGACUUGUAGCAAAGGGGUUCACCCAAAGAGAGGGAGUGGAUUUUAAUGAAGUAUUCUCCCCUGUGGUCAAACACAGCUCAAUAAGAGUCUUGUUAUCCAUUGCAGCAUACAAUGACUUGGAGUUAGAUCAAAUGGACGUGAAGACUGAUUUCCUACAUGGAGAUCUCAGUGAGAGGAUACUGAUGGAACAGCCAGAGGGAUUUGUUGAAGCUGAAUCAGAAGAUAUGGCUUGCUUGCUCAAUAAAAGCCUAUAUGGAUUAAAACAGUCACCUAGGCAAUGGUAUUUGAAAUUCGAUGAGUUUAUGAUCACACAUGGCUACAGCAGAAGUAAAUAUGACAGUUGUGUGUACUCUAAGGCUCUAACCUCUGGAAAUUUCAUUUACCUUUUACUCUAUGUGGAUGACAUGCUCCUGGCAUGUAAACAAAGAGAAGAGCUGGAGUGGCUUAAAGGUGAACUAAGCUCAGAAUUUGAAAUGAAGGACCUAGGUCCAGCCACCAAAAUAUUGGGAAUGCAUAUAAUCAGAGAUAGAGUUUCUAAAACCCUUUUCUUGUCUCAGACAGGAUAUGUGGAGAAGGUUCUCAGUAGAUUUGGAAUGAAUGAAUCCAAACCAGCCUUAACUCCUUUAGGAGCUCAGUUCAGACUCUCUAAACAGGAAGAGCCAAAAGAUAAUGCAGAGGUUGAACACAUGAAGAAUAUACCAUACACUAGUGUGAUUGGUUGUAUUAUGUAUGCCAUGGUCUGCACCAGACCUGAUUUGGCCUAUGGAAUUGGAGUCUUGAGCAGAUUCAUGUCAAAUCCUGGAAAACAUCAUUGGCAUGCAGCUAAAUGGAUGUUGAGGUAUUUAAAGGGCACAGCUGGUAUGGGUAUAGUAUAUGGAAGGGUUGACAAAAGCUCAGAUCAAAUUCAAGGAUAUGUUGAUUCAGACUUUGCUGGUGAUCUGGAUAAAAGAAGGUCAAUCACUGGUUAUGUUUACACUUUGUGUGGUGGAGCAGUCAGCUGGAAAGCUUCUUUACAGUCAGUAGUUGCUUUGUCAACUACUGAGGCAGAGUACAUAGCACUCUCAGAAGCAGUGAAAGAAGCAAUAUGGUUAAAAGGGUUAGUAGCAGAGUUAGGCCUGGAGCAAGGAUCAGUCAAUAUCAACUGUGACAGUUCUAGUGCCAUCCAGUUGAGCAAGAACCCAAAAUACCAUGAGAGAACAAAACAUGUGGAUAUAAGGUUACACUUCAUCAGAGAUGAGAUUGCUCAAGAAGUUGUAAAUGUAAUUAAGAUUGCAUCAGAAUGUAACCCUGCAGACAUGCUUACGAAGACUCUGCCAUCAGUCAAGUUCAAAGCUGCUUUGAAUUUGAUUGGCAUGGUUAUUUAGUAGAUCUAGUUAUGGUUGGUUGGUUCAGUGACUGAGAGAAGCUUUAACAGAAUAAAACUAGGUGGAGAUUUGUGAAGCCAGCAAGUAGUUAUAUUCUGUUUAAUUGAAUGAGGUGGCAUGCUGAGUUGGCAUAAGAUCCUUGAGUCUGUUAAAUCUGUUAAUGAAGAAUAACAGUUGGCACUCUUCUUUCGUAGCUAAGGAGUUAUAAAAGGGCAGCAAGGAGAUACAUUGGAGAUACGAGUGUAUGAGAGAUUCUUGGAGUGAGAUAUAGAACUUUUGUGAGAAGUUAAUAUCUCUGUAAUCUCAUCAUCUUUUGUAAACCAUCUUUCAUUCUAAAUAAAGCUUAGAGCUGUGCUGUUUCAACCGUGGAUGUAGGCUUUUUGUGGCCGAACCACGUUACAUCUUCUUGCCUUUAUCUUUUAUAUUCUUGGUAUCUUUGGUUGUUUGGUUUAGAUCUUUAGUGAGAAUACAUUUGUUCGUAUGCUUGUUUUCUUAAAGAAGCUUGAAAGUGCUGGGCUAAGUUCUUAACACACAUCCUAGCCAUUUGCAUGGAGUACAAGAGACACAAGGACGGGGUAGAUCUUUCUGCGAUCAUUGCCAGAAAUAUGGGCAUAUAAAAGCCAAAUGUUACAAAAUUGUUGGCUACCCACCAAACUGGAAACAUUCAAAUCGAUCGCAUGUUGCUGCUCCUACAACCACAAAGCCACAACAACUAGAUGAUCAUCCCAUUCCAACAGACAAGAAUGCAUCAUCUCAGCCUACUAUCCAAAUUCCUGGUCUCACGGCUGAACAAUAUCAACAAUUAUUAUCUAUACUUUCAACAAGUGAGCAACCAUCUACUGCAAACUUAGCUGGUAAAAUCUUUCCUUUUUGCAAUUCUGCUAUUAACUCAUAUAAUAAUUCUUGGAUAAUUGAUAGUGGGAAUCUGAUCACAUGACCCCUAAUAUUUCUUCCUUUAAAAAUUUUGUGCCCAUGUCUCAUGUCAAACCCGUGAGACUACCAAAUGGCACAACUGUUCCUACAACAAAAUGUGGAUCCAUUAAAUUAUCCUCCUCUUUGACUUUAGAUAAUGCCUUAUUGGUUCCUCAUUUUAAUUUUAAUCUAUUAUCUGUAAGCAAGCUAACCAAGGAUUUGAACUGUGCUGCUAUAUUUUUUUCCUUCAUUUUGUGUUUUUCAGGACCUUUCAACGAAGAAGCUGAUUGGAAAGGGUGAAGUUUGGGAUGGACUAUAUUAUUAUGAGCUUAUCAAUGGUCAUUCUUCCCUUCCUUCAGUAAUGAACGUUGCAAAGGAACCCAAUUCCAAUCUUUGACAUUUGCGACUCGGUCACCCUUCUAAAGACCGAAUGCAGCGUUUGUCUUUUAUUUCUGAUAUUGCAUCAUUUAAUUCUUGUUGUGAAAUUUGUCAACUUUCAAAAAACACUAGAAGUUCAUUUCAAUUGAAUAAAAAUCAUUCUGAUAUGCCAUUUCAAUUAAUUUUUUGUGAUAUUUGGGGACCUCAUCGCACAUCUACAUAUACGGGAGCAUAUUAUUUUCUUACUAUUGUUGAUGACCAUACUCGUUGUACUUGGGUUUACCUCAUACGGCACAAGUUUGAAGCUUUUCAAUUAUUAAAAAAUUUUUACUUCUUGAUCAAGACACAAUUUCACACACAAAUUAAAAAAAAAAAUUUGUAUUAAUCAAGGAAGUGAAUUUUUAUCAAAUCAGAUGCAAUUUUUUUCAUGAGCAUGGCAUCUUGCAUGAACACACUUGUGUUGAAACACCUCAACAAAAUGGGGUAGCAGAACGCAAGUAUCGACAUAUUUUAGAAGUUGCACGUGCAUUAUGUUUUCAAGCACAUUUACCUUUGUCUUUCUGGGGAGAUUGUGUUUUAGUUGCAACCCAUUUAAUUAAUCGUAUACCCACUCCUAAUCUUGGUGGUCAAUCACCUUAUGAAAUGCUUUUUAAGACUAAACCUCACUAUGAUCUUCUUCGUGUCUUUGGCUGUCUUUGUUAUGCUCAUACCAACAGUGCUAAUCGUCAUAAAUUUGCUUCCCGUGCUACCAAGUGUAUAUUUGUUGGUUACCCAUUUGGGUAUCUCGGAUACAAAGUUUAUGAUAUCAUUAAUAAAAAGACUUUUAUUUCUCGUGAUGUUACUUUUGUGGAAACUGAAUUCCCAUUCAAAACUAUCACCAAUCAACAAGAAAAUAGCAAUCUUUUACCUCUUCCUAUCAUACUUCCUGCCAAUGAAAAUGCACAGCUCCUUCCAACUUCUUCCAAUGAAAAGCCACUCCACCAAGGUACAUCUGAUUCAAUAGUUCUCCCUUCUCCACCUCUUCGACGAUCCCAACGACAGUCUUGUCGUCCAAAUUAUCUUCAGAAUUAUAUUUUCUCUACUGCACUUCACGGUACAUUUGGCAACUCUAUUACUUUUACUAAUCAUCCACCAUUGGUAAGUUCUUUAUAUCCAUUAUCCAAGUAUUUAUCAUAUGACAAGUUUUCUAGUGAUCAUGUAGCCUUUCUUUAAGCUAUAUCUCACGGUGUUGAACCAACUACAUAUUCUCAAGCCGUUCAACAUGCUUAUUGGCGCAAUGCUAUGGAUAUAGAGAUUAAAGCUUUGGAGCAAAGUAACACUUGGACAAUACAAGAUCUACCCCCCGGCAAGAAACCAAUUGGUUGUAAAUGAGUGUUUAAAAUUAAAAGAAAAGCUGAUGGUUCUAUUGAUAGAUACAAAGCAUGCCUUGUUGCUAAAGGAUACACACAAACUGAAGGUUUGGAUUACCAUGAGACAUUUGCACCUGUUGCAAAACUUGUGACUGUUAGAUGUGUAUUGGCAAUGGCAGCUAUUCGAGGGUGGUUAUUAUUUCUGUUAGAUGUUCAUAAUGCAUUUCUUCAUGGCAACUUGCAUGAGGAAAUUUAUAUGACCUUACCUCCAGGAGUUCGUAAACAGGGGGAGUCUUAUCAAUUUUGUCGGUUAAACAAGUCCCUUUAUGGUCUUAAGCAAGCUUUUCAAAAAUUGGUUUGAAAAAUUCUCAUCCGCUCUUAAACAAAUUGGUUACAUUCAAUUUUGUGCUGAUUCUUGUUUAUUUACUAAUAUGCACGAUUCUCAUUUUACAUUGGUGCUUGUGUAUGUUGAUGAUAUAAUAAUUGCUGGUAACCAUCUUGACACUAUAACUGCAUUGAAGAUAUUUUUACAGGCUCAAUUUCAUAUUAAAGACUUGGGAACUUUGAAAUAUUUUUUAGGAAUUGAAGUGGCUCGUUCAAAGCAAGGGAUUUUCUUAAAUCAAAGGAAAUAUGCUUUAGAUAUACUUCAAGACAGUGGACAAUUAGGCACACGGCCAUCUUCUUUUCCAAUGGAAUAAAACUUGAAGCUCUCUAACGAUCAAGGAACCCUUUGUCAAAAUCCUGACCACUACUAACCACUGUCAUAGGAUGUCUCAUCUAUUUGACAAUCACCCGGCCAGAAAUUACAUAUGCUGUGAACAUACUUAGUCAAUUUAUGCACACUCCAAGACGACCACAUUAUGAUGUUGCCCUGCGUGUCUUACGUUACAUUAGAUCUUCUCCCGGCGCUGGUAUCCUCUUGUCCUCCGCUAGCUCUUUGGAACUCUCUGCCUUCUCAGAUUCAGAUUGGGCAAGUUGCCCCAUGACCCGUCGAUCCACCACUGAAUAUAUUAUCAUGCUCGGCAACAAUCCUAUUUCUUGGAAAACCAAGAAGCAACCAUUUGUAUCGCGCUCUUCCGCUGAAGCCGAAUAUCGAGCAAUGGCGACAACAACAUGUGAAUUGGUUUGGUUGAAAACUCUACUUCAUGAUCUUCAUGUGACCCAUCCAAUGCCUAUAACUUUACAUUGUGACAAUCAAGUUGUGCUUCAUAUCGCUGCGAAUCCCAUCUUCCAUGAGCGUACCAAGCACAUAGAAAUAGACUGCCAUCUUGUUCGUGAAAAGCUUCAUGCCAAAAUCAUUUCCUUAACUUAUGUGCCUUCACGACAACAAUUGGCUGACAGUUUUACCAAAGUUCUUGGUAAAGAUCAAUUUCAAUAUCUUCUUGGCAAGUUGGGAGUUACGGAUCUUCACUUUCCAACUUGAGGGGGAGUAUUAGAACAAGAAUCAAUCGGUCCUUGAUCUUAGCCACUAACUUAGCAUAUUGUAAUAUUCAUUCUCCUUUAUAUUCUUUCCUUUUCUAUUAUUUGACUGUUUGGUACUUGCCUUAGAUGAUUAUAGUAUUUUGGUAUAUAAGGAUCUUGUACACAGCAACAAAUAUAUAUGACCAUUUCCACAAUUCUUUACAGGAAGUAAGGAACAACUUCAUAGAUCCAUUAUUCUUAAAUUAUAAAAAUACAUAAACAACAUAUGUAUAUGAUUUUAGACAAAUCAAGAUAGUUUAAUUCAUACCUUUGUGAGUGAGAUCAAAGGAGGGAUAUUAUCAUAUUACCUCUUAAUGGCUAGAGACUCGUGUUGAUAAUGUGUUAUAUCAUUUAUCAAUUGGGAGUGCAACAAUAUAGCAAGAGAAAUAAAGAAGGCAAAUAAGAGACACAAUGUUUAGAGGGGAAUUUUAUUCAAUCUCAAAUAUAUACAAAUAGGAAGCAAAGGCCUGCUUUUAUAGUGAUACAAGCAUAAAGUAGUAAGUAAUACCUCGUAAUUAUAAGAGAUGACAAUCCUCAGAUUAGGGAGAUAAUGAGAGUUAUAAAAGAUGGAAAGUUACUUGUGAGGAGAUCGAAGAUUGCUUUGAUGAACAUCCACAUAUAUUAUAAUAAUUUCAUAACAUACAUUUACUUUUAAUUUAUUUUUAAGGUUAAUUGGUUAAUAAGCUUCUUGUGUAGUAGAUUGAUUAAUGUGCCCAAGAAUAUUGUUGGAUGCUAUUAUUUUAAAGGCAAAGAAAAAUAAGGCAUAAGUGUCACAUGUUCAAUAGCAGGGAUGUUUUGAGGAAUUUCUUAAAAUAAAAAGACUAAGUAGAUCUUUAGCCCAAAAUAUAGGGAUUAAGCAAGCAUUCAUCCUAUUGAAAAGCAAAGUAAACUAAUGUAACCAUAAUUGAAUAUAAAGUUAACUCUUCUAUGGCAUUAUAGAGAACAAAAGAAGGAAAAAUAUUAUUCAAAUUCAAGAUAAGAAGGUAGUUUAUUAACUGUCUAAAGUUCAAAAUUUUAUUAAUUUCAGACCUUUUUUAAAAUUUACUUAUUUGUUUUUUUGUAACUUAUGUUUGAUUUUUAGAUAUUUACAUCUGAAUAGAAAAAGUAAGAUUUUUUGACUUUUAUCUAAAUGGAAAAAGAUCUGAAUGAUUAGUAAAUAUUAUAUUCCAUAAAUAUCUCUAUAAAAUAACUUAUUUCCUAAUCUAUAAAAUAGAAUCCCCUUUUUUUAUUUUGAUUUACAAGGACGUAAAUGUCAAAGAACUAAGUUUAAGAUGUUUUUUAUUAUAAAAACAAAUAAGAUGCCACUUACAUUCAUAUAUUAAAAAAUGAAAAACAAACAUGUGAUUCAAAUUUUCGUAUUCAAACCCAUUCAAACUUGAAAAAAAUUUAGACACAUUCAAAUUUCAGACAAAAAAGACAAAUACUACUUCAAUUUUUUUUUCGCUUUGCAACUGCCCACUGCUAACCAAAUAAAAAAAGAUUUUCAAUUUGGAAUUAUGUUAUCCAACAUAUGAAGACAAUUCUUCCUUUGAACGAAUCUUUAUGAUUGUUUUCUGAACGAAUAUUGCUCUAAAUUAAAAUAUUUUAGAACAAAAAAUAGUUGAUUGCCAAAUGUACAAUAGGUACAAUUUUCUUUUUUCAGCUCUCUUUUGGAAGAGAACUAUGUCGUCCUUUAUAAUUAUUAUUUCUUGAAAGAAUACAAACUUAAAUUACUGGCUUUUUAUUUGUAAAAUCAUAUAAAAUAGACUCUUUUAAGGAAAAUAUCUCAUACCGGAGAUAAUAAUUUCUGGACUAAGAAUAUAAACUUAAAACAGCACUACUAUCAAAUUAUCUUUAAAAGAGUUCCUUGAUCAAAAGAAUUUAUUUAUCAUUUUUCACAGUUUAAAAAAAUAAAAAAAAUUACAUAGAAAUAAUUGGAAGAUUUCCUAAAUAAGCAUCAAAUAAAUGCUAAUUUAUUGCAUGAUACUUGGAAGAAACCAUAAAUAAAAAUUAAGGAUUUAUAAUUUUAAAGACAAGUUGGGAGUUUAAAUUUUCUUGCCAUCUUGAGGGAGAAUAAUAAGACCGAAAUAAUAUUGAUGAAACAAAAUAAUCAAUCAAAUAUUUGAUUGUCUUCAUCUUAAUCAGUGAUCAAGAAAAAUUGGUUGUUAAUUAACAUAAAAAUUGAUUGACUCAAUAUUUACUAAUAGAUCAUUAUUCCCAAAUUAUGUUAAUUAUAUAUAUUUCAAAUACUUAUAAGAAUUGAGUUUGCUUACGGUUUAUUAAAUAUAGUCUCUUAAAAGUUUACAUGUGGCCCAUACAAAGCUAACAUUACUCUGUUAUAGCAUUUCGGGCAUCCAACAAGAUCCUCUUCUUCACUUAUUGUUAGAACUAGAGCUAACAAAUUAAUUACUUAAUCACGGCUAAGUUUGGAAUUAAAAUCAAACUAAAUUAUCUAAUUGGUUGAGUUCGGUUUCCGUUUGUAUGGGCUACAUGAAAUUUUUUCUCUCAUCUUCUCUCGUCUGCUAAUCGCAUCUUUCUCUCUUUCGACUCUCUAAUUUCUCUCUUGGAUUUGGUUACCAAGCACAUAAAAUUGAAGCCACCAUCUCGCUCAUAACAAACAACUAGUCGGAUCCACCAAACUGUUGCUGUCAUCUUGAGCCAUUCAAGUAACUUGAACACAUCAUCUUCUCGUAAAUUCUCUUUCAUUUUCGAAUUAAAGACAAGGUAAGGAUGUAAUCUUGACUUUUGUGUUUUUUGUGAUGACUACAGAAAAUGCUAUAUGAAACAAUUAGGGAUUUAUGUGCUAUAUAAUAAUAAUAAUAAUAAUAAUAAUAACAACAACAACAACAACAACAAGUAGUCAUUUAUGAAUUUUGAGUGAAAAAAUAGGGAUUUAUGUGCUUCUUCUUCUUCUUCUUCUUCUUCUUCUUAUUAUUAUUAUUAUUAUUAUUAUUUUCCCUAUAUUAAACAAGUAGUCAUUUAUGAAUUUUGAGUGAAAAAUUCACUCGGCUGUGGCAAAUUUUGUGCCUUACAAGUAGUCGAUUUCACGCAUUCAUCAUCACCAUUACUAUGUUCAUUAUUAUUUGCUAUUGUUUUUUACUUUUUCUGCUGUUAUUGAUUAAAUUGACAUUAAAUUUAUGUCUUGUUCAUUACAAGACUUAGGGUGCGUUUGGGAUUGAGGUUGGGCAGCUGUAGCUUAAAAGCUACAGCACUAAAGUGUUUGGUAAACACUAGCUGUUGUAGCUUUUAAGAUAUGUUGAUAUGAUUUUUCACUUGUAUAAUAUAAAAUUUAUUAUAUCUUUAAUAAUUUUAUCAAAAUUAUUAUUUAAAAUUUAUAUUUACUAUUAUUAUUAACUUUUGUUUUAUAAUUACAGCUUUUUUUUCACAGCAGCUGUAGCUUAAAAGCUACAGCACCUCAAUCCCAAACGCACCCUUAACAAUAUAAUCCAGUUGUAACAUGGACACUACAGAUGAUACAAGUGCGCAAGACCUAGUCAGAGAGCGUAGUACACUUUUUGUAAGUAUAAACUAAUUGAUAUUUUUCGAGUUGUUAUGUUAGCAACCAUUUUAAAAACACUUUUGUUUUCGAAUUUUGGUUACGUUGAAGUGAAGGGGAUUGAGUUGCCAUUAAAAAUCAAAGUAUUUUGGUCUUUAUAAACAAAGCGCUUUUGUGGAAUAGAUCUAAGAAGAUGCUAAUCUUCUUAAUAAAUUUUUUUUAAAAAAAAUUCUAUUACUCUUGGUGCAACAAAUUUCCUAGUCCCAAAACCUUGUCAUAGAAAAAAAAAAAAAAAAAAAAAGAAAACAGAAAAAGAGUGAAAAUCUCUUCGGUCAACCAAAUUACUCAAAUUCGUAAAAUAAUAUAAUACUUGAACCUUAAAAAUAAAAGCUCUAUAUAUUACUAUAUAAACAGUGAUAAACACAAUUACUAUCUAAGCCCACUCGAAGUUUUAUCAUACAGUCGUAUAUUUAUCACCUUAUGUACGUAUAUUGUAAUUUGGAUACGUUAUUUAAUUGUAUUUAUAUUGUGUAUAUUUACCACAUUAUGUACGUAUAUAAAAUAUAACGUAUAUUGUGUAAACUCUACUAUAAACAAUUAAUAUUUGGUCAUAUUUCUUUUGGCAAAUAACCCCCUGGGAUUUCUUCUUUAUCGCAACAUGAAAUUGAAGAUAUUUAAAAGGUUUUGAAACGUUAUUUUUAUUGAAUGGAGUUGCCAUUUUUAAUUUUGGUUGCAAAUAAUAAUUCCUUGGUGGUUACAAUAUUUUUAAAUAUCCCCAUUAAGGCUGUAGGGGCUACAAAUCUUCAUUCUAGAUCUGUAACAUAUGACUAUGAAUUAUAUAUAAAUGAGCUAUUUUUCUUUAUCUUUGGAUAUAUUAUAUACUCUAUUGUUUUCUCCGAAACUCUACGAUAAACAAUUAAUACUUUUCUUUGCAACUUCGACAAAUGAGCUAAGGAAUGUUAAUGCAUUCAUUAAUUAUUCAAUUUCUUAUCUAAAGACUAAGAUUCUUUUAUUUUUUAUUCUAUCAAUUUAUUAUUAUCGUAAAACAAUUGCGGGUGAGUAUAUUUAAACUCAUUAGAUCACUUCCUAUAUCCUAAAUCAAUAAAUAAUUUUAUUACAAAAUUACUGAAAAAUCCUUUUAAUUUCUUGAAUACCCAAAAAGUAAAAUUACCAUUCUAGAUGGAGGAUAAAUCUUUAAAACUGCCUUAAACGCAUCUUAUUUGUUCAUACACACACAAGUUAUUAAACAACCAUGGAUGUUGAACCAAAGUGUCAAACUUAGUUUCUGGUUGUCAAAUUUUCUUCCUAUUGGACAUCUAAAUCGUUUUGUAGUCAGUAACAUAGUCAGAAAAUCAAAUUAGUGGGGUAGAAUGACUGACAUAAAAUAUAAAGAAAUUUUUUUACUGUGUUCUUUAUCUAUUUUUCUAAUAUUUUUAGCAUUCCUCCUUACAUAUGUCUUAAUAGCAUGUUUAAUUUGAAGAAAUAAAAUAAGAAGAGAUGAGAGAUAAGGAGAAUGGGAACAAUAAAUAAUGGAAAAAGAGAUAUAAUUAUAUAUUAAAUUAAACAAUGAAAUUGAGAAUGAUCCUAUUUUUUCCCUCAUUUUUGAUCACUUACUCUAAGGAACCAGAACUUUAAGGAAAGACAGACAAAUCAUAAAGAUUGAAGAGCAGGAAUUUUUGUUCUCCUUUUUAAAUAAAAAAUUUCAUUUCAAUGGAUUUUUAUUAUUAAAUUAGUCUUUCUCUAAAUCAGAUCAAAUAUAUUAGAUCUUAAAUCUUGUUUUUAAUGAAAUUAAUUACGUUUUGGGCAUUUAAAUUAUGAAAUUGGACAAGAUUUGUGUGUGAUUUUAAAAUAAAUAUGAACUUGAAUUUGAUGCAUUUAAUUAAUCCAAAGAGGCAAAUUUAUAAUUUCAACUUCUAAAUAAAACAUAUCAUUUGAAUUUUAUCAGUGGUUUCUAACAAUAACUGACAGGUCAUUAUAAUAAUUAUAAAUGUAAUAUUUAUUUUUAUAAUUAUACAGUUAUGAUCAAUGCUAUGCUGUAGUGCCGUUCCAAAGGCAACUGCUCCCACUAUAAUUAUAAUCAUUAAGCAAGAACUUGCAAAAGCAACUUAAUUACAAGUAAUCUUUCCUCUGUUCUUAUUUUCAGUUCAAUUUGGUCCCGAGAAUAAUGAUGUUGACGACAACAAAAAUAAUAAUUGAUGCAUCUUGCUGUUUAAUAAGGCAAGCUCGAAAUAAAUCAAAUCCUAGUCAUACAAAAAUUCAAAUGAUAUGAGCCAUGAUCUCUUGCCAAGCUUCAGACAAGUUAAAUUAUAAGAGGAUCUUGAUAAGUUAAAUUAUGAACAGACAUUUACGCUGUGGACCCAUUCAUGCAUCCCCGUUUCGAUUUUGCAAUUUAACGUAGCCGUUAAUCUUACCUAGCCAUGUGUACGAGAAAAACUCCGCCGUCGAUCCGUAUAUGUAAGCACCAAGCAUGCAUUAUUAUUUUACCAAUUAUAAAGCACCGACACCCAGGGCCAGCCUAGAAUUAUAAUACUAUUUUUUUUUUUGGAUCAGGACGAAAUUAUUAUUGAAUAAUAAUUAAAACAAAAAAAAUCUGAAUCUUUCUAUGAUUGUAUCAACUUAUUAUGCAUGCCUAUGUUAUUGCCCAGUUGCCUAUGUUAUUGACAUCUACUACGAAGUUAGAAAUUGGUCUUAAUUAAUUAGAUAUGUUUCGAAAUUGGUCUUAAUUAAUUAGAUGCAUUUCUCAUUUGAAUUAUUUGGAGACGUGUAUAAUACAGGUCAAGUUUUCUAAUAAGAGGUUAGUGACUUUAUUUCUUUUAUUGGCUCAUAUUGAUUUAUGUGGCUAUCAUUCCUAGCUAAUUCGAUUAUUUAUCAAUAAUUUUAUUGAACAAAUUGAUUUAUUGGUUAAAAUAAGUUGUUCUUAUUAUUGUUUUUGACUAGAAGGUCUCAAUAAAGUUGGAAUAAAUAAAUUUUCAUCUAUGUCUCGCACUUACGUAAAAUAAAAGAAAAAAUCAUAAUUACAAAGAAAUUAAGAACCAAUGUCAAUCAUGUAAAAUCAAAUAUUUAAACAAUCAAAAUUUUAUCACUUCUGAGUUUAAGACUUUUUUCUUUCAUAUGUUAGAAAAUAAAAUUUUGAUGGAAUUUUUUUUUUUUAAAAUGAAAUUGGGAAUUAGAAAAUUUCAUUUCCAAGACUUUUUUCUUUCAAAUUAAGACUGCACGUGAUAAUUGCGGUUAGUUUUCCCCUGUUAUCAAUUAUUGCCACCGGAUGGGACCCACGUAAUUCGUCUAAUUGAACUGUACCCGGUUAUUCGCAAUCCACACCGGGCAAACUUGAAUCAUCUAUAUAUAUUACAUCAAAUUGUCAAAUCGGAAGCGAGAACUCGAAAAAGUAAUUUAGUAAAACUCGCCGCCUAUAAAAUUCAAAACCGAGGGCCAAGACGAAGUAUUCACUCAAGGACCGCGAGUCACGCAUUGUGGUGUGAACGGUUACCAAAACAACGAAAAUGAACCAACGUCUUUGCUGUCUUAUUGUUCUCUUUCUCUCCGUGGUCCCUCUCCUGGCCGCCGGCGACCGUAAAGGAGCGUUGGUUGGGGGAUGGAAGGCGAUAGAGGACCCCAAGGAGAAGCACGUGAUGGAGAUUGGGCAGUUCGCGGUGACGGAGUACAACGAACGGUCAAAGAGCGCGUUGAAGUUUGAGAGCGUGGAGAAGGGCGAGACUCAGGUGGUUUCCGGCACCAAUUACCGGCUGAUCUUGGUCGUCAAGGACGGUCCUUCGAUCAAGAAAUUUGAAGCUGUCGUUUGAGAGAAGCCAUGGGAGCAUUUCAAGAGUCUCACCUCGUUUAAGCCUAUGUUUGGGGGAUGGACUCCGAUAGACCCCACGGAGAAGCACGUGAUGGAGAUCGGGCAGUUCGCGGUGACGGAGUACAACAAACGGUCAAAGAGCGCGUUGAAGUUCGAGAGGGUGGAGAAGGCCGAGACUCAGGUGGUUUCCGGCACCAAUUACCGGCUGAUCUUGGUCGUCAAGGACGGACCUUCGACCAAGAAAUUUGUAGCUGUCGUUUGGGAGAAGCCAUGGGAGCAUUUCAAGAGUCUCACCUCGUUUAAGCCUAUGUUUGGGGGAUGGACUCCGAUAGACCCCACGGAGAAGCACGUGAUGGAGAUCGGGCAGUUCGCGGUGACAGAGUAAUACAAACGGUCAAAGAGCGCGUUGAAGUUCGAGAGCGUGGAGAAGGCCUGGACUCAGGUGCUUUCCGGCACCAAUUACCGGCUGAUCUUGGUCGUCAAGGACGGACCUUCGACCAAGAAAUUUGAAGCUGUCGUUUGGGAGAAGCCAUGGGAGCAUUUCAAGAGUCUCACCUCGUUUAAGCCUAUGUUUGGGGGAUGGACUCCGAUAGACCCCACGGAGAAGCACGUGAUGGAGAUCGGGCAGUUCGCGGUGACAGAGUACAACAAACGGUCAAAGAGCGCGUUGAAGUUCGAGAGCGUGGAGAAGGCCUGGACUCAGGUCGUUUCCGGCACCAAUUACCGGCUGAUCUUGGUCGUCAAGGACGGACCUUCGACCAAGAAAUUUGUAGCUGUCGUUUGGGAGAAGCCAUGGGAGCAUUUCAAGAGUCUCACCUCGUUUAAGCCUAUGUUUGGGGGAUGGACUCCGAUAGACCCCACGGAGAAGCACGUGAUGGAGAUCGGGCAGUUCGCGGUGACAGAGUAAUACAAACGGUCAAAGAGCGCGUUGAAGUUCGAGAGCGUGGAGAAGGCCUGGACUCAGGUGCUUUCCGGCACCAAUUACCGGCUGAUCUUGGUCGUCAAGGACGGACCUUCGACCAAGAAAUUGUUAGCUGUCGUUUGGGAGAAGCCAUGGGAGCAUUUCAAGAGUCUCACCUCGUUUAAGCCUAUGCUUGGCGGAUGGACUCCGAUAGACCCCACGGAGAAGCACGUGAUGGAGAUCGGGCAGUUCGCGGUGACAGAGUACAUCAAACGGUCAAAGAGCGCGUUGAAGUUCGAGAGCGUGGAGAAGGCCUGGACUCAGGUGGUUUCCGGCACCAAUUACCGGCUGAUCUUGGUCGUCAAGGACGGACCUUCGACCAAGAAAUUUGAAGUUGUCGUUUGGGAGAAGCCAUGGGAGCAUUUCAAGAGUCUCACCUCGUUUAAGCCUAUGCUUGGGGAUGGACUCCGAUAGACCCCACGGAGAAGCACGUGAUGGAGAUCGGGCAGUUCGAGGUGACGGAGUGCAAUAAACGGUCAAAGAGCGCGUUGAAGUUCGAGAGCGUGGAGAAGGCCUGGACUCAGGUGGUUUCCGGCACCAAUUACCGGCUGAUCUUGGUCGUCAAGGACGGACCUUCGACCAAGAAAUUUGAAGCUGUCGUUUGGGAGAAGCCAUGGGAGCAUUUCAAGAGUCUCACCUCGUUUAAGCCUAUGUUUGGGGGAUGGACUCCGAUAGACCCCACGGAGAAGCACGUGAUGGAGAUCGGGCAGCUCGCGGUGACGGAGUACAACAAACGGUCAAAGAGCGCGUUGAAGUUCGAGAGCGUUUAGAAGGCCGAGACUCAAGUGGUUUCCGGCACCAAUUACCGGCUGAUCUUGGUCGUCAAGGACGGACCUUCGACCAAGAAAUUUGUAGCUGUCGUUUGGGAGAAGCCAUGGGAGCAUUUCAAGAGUCUCACCUCGUUUAAGCCUAUGUUUGGGGGAUGGACUCCGAUAGACCCCACGGAGAAGCACGUGAUGGAGAUCGGGCAGUUCGCGGUAACAGAGUACAACAAACGGUCAAAGAGCGCGUUGAAGUUCGAGAGCGUGGAGAAGGCCUGGACUCAGGUCGUUUCCGGCACCAAUUACCGGCUGGUCUUGGUCGUCAAGGACGGACCUUCGACCAAGAAAUUGUUAGCUGUCGUUUGGGAGAAGCCAUGGGAGCAUUUCAAGAGUCUCACCUCGUUUAAGCCUAUGCUUGGGGGAUGGAAUCCGAUAGACCCCACGGAGAAGCACGUGAUGGAGAUCGGGCAGUUCGCUGUGACAGAGUACAACAAACGGUCAAAGAGCGCGUUGAAGUUCGAGAGCGUGGAGACGGCCUGGACUCAGGUGGUUUCCGGCACCAAUUACCGGCUGAUCUUGGUCGUCAAGGACGGACCUUCGACCAAGAAAUUUGUAGCUGUCAUUUGGGAGUAGCCAUGGGAGCAUUUCAAGAGUCUCACCUCGUUUAAGCCUAUGCUUGGGGGAUGGACUCCGAUAGACCCCACGGAGAAGCACGUGAUGGAGAUCGGGCAGUUCGCGGUGACAGAGUACAACAAACGGUCAAAGAGCGCGUUGAAGUUCGAGAGCGUUGAGAAGGCUUGGACUCAGGUGGUUUCCGGCACCAAUUACCGGCUGAUCUUGGUCGUCAAGGACGGACCUUCGACCAAGAAAUUUGAAGCUGUCGUUUGAGAGAUGCCAUGGGAGCAUUUCAAGAGUCUCACCUCGUUUAAGCCUAUGCUUGGGGGAUGGACUCCGAUAGAGCCCACGGAGAAGCACGUGAUGGAGAUCGGGCAGUUCGCGGUGACAGAGUACAAUAAACGGUCAAAGAGCGCGUUGAAGUUCGAGAGCGUUGAGAAGGCUUGGACUCAGGUGGUUUCCGGCACCAAUUACCGGCUGAUCUUGGUCGUCAAGGACGGACCUUCGACCAAGAAAUUUGUAGCUGUCGUUUGGGAGUAGCCAUGGGAGCAUUUCAAGAGUCUCACCUCGUUUAAGCCUAUGCUUGGGGGAUGGACUCCGAUAGACCCCACGGAGAAGCACGUGAUGGAGAUCGGGCAGUUCGCGGUGACGGAGUACAACAAACGGUCAAAGAGCGCGUUGAAGUUCGAGAGCGUGGAGAAGGCCUGGACUCAGGUGCUUUCCGGCACCAAUUACCGGCUGAUCUUGGUCGUCAAGGACGGACCUUCGACCAAGAAAUUUGAAGCUAUCGUUUGGGAGAAGCCAUGGGAGCAUUUCAAGAGUCUCACCUCGUUUAAGCCUAUGGUUAAAUAGGGUGUUUAACAAAUAACAAAUGCAUGUAAUUGUUAAAUAAAGGAUAGGUAUACUAUUACCUAUCAAUCAUGGCAAUGUCUUAGUCUGUUUUAGUUCAACUUAUAAGAUUUCUUGAGAUGUACAAGAGAUCUUUUUGUUUACUUUUGAGCCAAGUAUUUUCCUGAAAAAGGAAAUAAAUCAAUAAAAAUUAUUGUGUGUCAACAUAUUGGUUAUAUUAGUCUAUACACGUCGGUUUUAAUUACCAUAUCUCCUCCUAAAUAUUUUACUUUUUUUGAAACAAGCUCAAAAAUUUGUUGUAUAAAAAACACUAUCACUUUCAAUCAUAACGUCCUCCUGGUCCUCCAUUGGGGAUAUUAUAGUGUGUCAUUCUGUAACCCAGAACUAUCAUUUAUUCCACCUCUACGAUAUCUUGUAAUGUUACUUGCAGCUUCAUAAGCCACAGAAACAUCAUCAAAAUCAACAAAUUGUUUUCUUUUCUUUUUUUUUAGGAAAGUAAUAAGAAAAAUAAAAGCUGCAUUAUUCUAUUUAUGAUCAAUAGAAGAAUUCAAGUGACUGGAGAAAAUUCAGAUUGUUCAAAAUGGGUUCUCAAACGAGAUAAGCCUCAGGUAGUAGACCUCACCAACAUCAAUACCAGACUCAAUCCAUUGAAUCGGUCUCGUCUUAAGCCUAACAGCUCCCUUCUAAUAUAAUCUAGUGAGAACGGUGAGGUGCUUGGUAUAUCAUACACCAAAAAUCAACGAUGCUUGGACUUUCAAGAAAAAGAGAAAAACAAAUGCAUGCACGGGGAAACGUACUAAUAAAAAGCAAAUCAUAUAAUUUACAAAUUAUUAUAGGCUUGUAGCCAUAAGAUCGAGAGAAACUAAAACAUUUCUUGCAUUUUCUGGCCAUAUUUUCUAAAUGAAGGGAUGGUCCAUUGCUGCUCUGCCAUACUGGAUCUCAAGAUGUCGUUAACAAUAGGUCUCAAGAUGUCACUAAAUUAUUGCCAGCAAAUGAUAUUUCGAGUCAAAAAAGUAUAUUCAAUUAUUGCAUAUAUGCUCCUAGGUAAUUUGCACAAUUGAAUUAUAGCUGUUAAUCUACUUAUUUACACAAUUGAUUAAUUUACGCAUCCAUUGCAAGACUUUCGCACUAGGUUUCAAUUUCAACCACAAAUCCUAGCUCUAGAUAAAAAUGAUGUGGUCGUAGAGAUUUCGAAUGUAUUCACUUUGUGAUUAACGGAAGCAUUGCUUUCAUUUGUAAGACGUUAAAUCAUCAUUUUGGUAAAGGAAAAAGAAUGAAAAAAGCUGCACUAUUUUAAAGGCCAUUUGGUAUAUGACCACUUCCCAUUGGACUUGGAGACCGGGUAAUUUUGUCAUCUCCACUCCUAGAAUCUGCUCUCAUGCUACUUGCAUGGUUCCAUCUUUGAAGUCUGGUACUGUUUUGUUUGGAAAAUACCCCACUAUAAUAUCUUCACGAAGAAAAUUGAUCCCCGUUAACUAGCGUGAUUAGCUUAGUUUCUUAAAUUCAACGUUCGUUUGGUUAAUUGUCUGUUAGUUUAGAAUUUUGAUUAGCCAAUAAAACAAUGAGUUUUAUUGUUUAAUAAGGCAAGUUGAAAUAAAUUCAAUCCUACUCACAGAAAAAUUUAAAUGACACAUAUCAUAAUCUUUUUCAUAUCUUCAGAAAAAUUAAAUCAUAAGAGGAUCAUGAACAAUUUGAUGAUGCUCUGAAAUAUAGUCUUCUGUUUUUCAAGGAAAAAAUAAGGAAGUUAAAAACAUGUUUAUCAGGUUUUUCAGAGAUCAUUUUGACGUUUUUGUUUAAAAACAUGAAAAUUGUUCUUAUUCUCGUAAAACAGAAAAAAUUAUCUGGCCGGUUAGCUAAUUAUUCUUGUUCUUCUGUUCUUUUUUAUUUGAAUUGUUUCUCCCUUUUCCAUUCAUUUUUCACUAUGAAAUUAAUUACUAAUUAAUCUACAGUUAGUUUCUCUACAGCUAAUAGGAACGUGAUUUAUGCCCGAAGACUCGCAUCUUUUUUAUUCAUUAUCUACAGUGCCUCACCUCCAAUCUAUGUAUAGGCGGACAUGCAUAUUUAUUAUAUCAAAUAAGUUAUUGAUGGAAAUUUCACUUUCGAAAUAGAGAAUUAUCCUUAAUUAAAUCUUUGUGGGCCUAAAUUCGAGUAAGAUUUAAUGAUGUAUGAUUCAAAAUUAUUGAAAUCGGACAUUUUAAACAAGAAAAAAAUAAAAAAUCUUGUUCUCUUUUUUAAAUAAUAAAUUUCAUUUUGAUGGAUUUUUAAUAUUAAAUUAGACAUUUGCUAAAUUGGCUCAAAUAUAAUAGAUCUUAGACCUUGCUUUUAAUGGAUUUAAUUAGGUUUUGGGCAUUUAAAUUAUACAACUGGAGACAGAAUUUAUAAAUAGAUAAGAUUCUAAUGUGAUUUUAAAAUAAUUUUGAACUUGAACUUGAACUUGAUGCAUUUAAUUAAUCCAGAAAGGUAAAUUUAUAAUUUCAACUUUUAAAUAAAACAUAUCCUUUGGAUUUUUUACAUAAACUAGAGGCAAUUGUACAAUAUUUACUUGACUAGUGGUAUAUAUCCCAAAUUUUUUAUCCUAAGAAAUGCCACAUCAUUUGGUUGAUGAGGAUAAUAUAAUUAAUUCACUUAGAUAUUAUAAAAAAUUAUCAACCAAUCAAUGAAUAACAUAUCAUUUUCAUUGGGAUGAAAUUUGAAAAAAAAAUUUAGGACGUCUAUCAUUACUUUAGUAAGAAAGCAUAUUAAGAUGGACUGACAUGUUUGGAUGCCCCAGCCUAAGAUGCAAGAGAUCAAUUUCUUUUGUUGUCUUGAAAUCCCUACUAUUUGACUCAACAACAUUGGCAACAUUUAACUCAUUACUACUAGAACAAAAAGAUAUCAUAGACAAAGGAUUGCUAAUGCAAUUUAUUGACUCAUACUCUAAAGAUAGAGGUAACUCAACAGCACAUUCAAUCUUGCGCUACUCAUGCACAUUAGCUCAUAUAGCCUAUCUUUAGUCACUCCUUUCAUUAGGAUUUUCACUUGGCUAAAGCAAGUAGAUUUUUGAAGCACAACAUCAAUAUCAUUAUCACGGAACAAUUUUGAGACAUUAAUAAGGUUCUUAGUAAUGCUAGGCACAGACAACGAGCUGUUUAGUUUAAUCUGUUUGUGUGGAUCAUAAGUGAGCAAUAUAGAGUAUCCAAUAUGAGAAAUCAAAAGUUUAUCACCAUUUCCAACAGUAGCUCAUCAUUACCUUGAUAUUAUGAAUUAAAGCUCAUGCUUCCAAUAGCACUGGUUGCAUGAUUUGUAGCACCAUUGUCAAGGUACCAAGCUCUACUAUUCUCACCGUCAACUGCAACCACAUAUGCUCUUCUUGGAUCUCUUCUUCUAUUUGGCUGUGGAACUGAUAUGAACCCUAUUAAGAACUAACAUGACCCUAACCAAUUUAGUCUCUAAGAUUGAAACCAAUUUUUUAUUUUUUUUAGAAGAGAUUGAAACCAAAUCUAAAAUUGAAUGGAACCGCGAUUUGAUCUCAAUGAAAGUACGAACCUUGGUAUGUGAUGACGUCACAAUUAGCUAUGGAUGAUCUUAUUGAUAAGUCAAGAGUUUGAACGCCACAGAAAUGCGAUAAAUUCAAAGGGUUAGUUUAAGAACCAAAGAGAAUUAGCUUUCUCACCAAUUGCAUCAAAAUUGAUGCCUUUCUUAUUGGAUACGAGUACAUUAGAUAGGGUUGGUUUAUAAGAAUUUUAAGAAAUAAAUCCUAAACCAAAAUCAAAUCAGAAUCCUAAUUUAAAGCAAAUAAUGAAAGAAACUAAAUCAAACCAGAAUCCUUAUUGGCUUAAAUGCCUUGCAUCAAUUAAAAAUGGAAACAAGGCAAUUAAAAGAGAAAUAAUUGAUUCGUUUUGCCACUUGCCUACUCAAGAAAUGGGAAAGUAUCCUAAAAGGAAAGUAGUAUAUUUUCCAAACGAGAAAACAUCUGAUAAGGUAAAUAAUGUAUUUUCUAGCCAUAAUGUGCAAACCAACUUGCUGAUUUUAUGGAAAUGAUUAUGUGGAAACUUAAAAAGCCUGAAUCACGUAUUUAGUGGUCUGAAUAUCAUGUGCGCUUUCUUCAACGGGCCUCCACGAAUUUGAUUGAGCUCAAGUUGCUUAAAUCAACCCAUUAAGCGAUUUUUUGAAUUUUUUUGCACGAGCUCUUGUGAUGGGUCCAACAGGAACUUGAAUGGGAUAUGAAUAUACCUCAUCCCAUGUGCUUGUGACAGUUUUGUCCUCAAUAUCAUAUUUUUUCCUUCAAAGAAACAAUUUUGCUUCAUAUGGAAAAGGAAAUUCUUAUGUAGCCUUACAUGAUUUAUACAUAAACUCAUAAUAUUUGUGUAGUCCUUCAUGAACAUGUGAAAUAUACACUUAUAUAGUGAAUCCUUCAUGAACAAGAUGUUAGUGAAUAACAUCAUAAUUUUGGAAUAGUCUUUCAGGAACAUAUUUUGAAAGAAAAUCUUCAUUAUGUAUAGUGCGAUCCUUAGAGAUGCAUUCUUAAUUUUCUUUCAUUAUAUAUUAUAAUAUUCAUACUUUAGGAUGAAUAUUUUGAAUUUCAAGAAUAGAAAAUAUAUAAUAGCAAUUGAAUAUUAUAAUAUAAAAAAUCAAACAAUAACAAAAUCAAUCAAUGGAACAUUAAAUAAAUGUUGGAAUCCAAAUCUCAUAAAAUAUAUGUAAUCAUUAAUAAAGGAAGUAUUAGAACAAGAAUCAAUCGGUCCUUGAUCUUAGCCACUAACUUAGCAUAUUGUAAUAUUCAUUCUCCUUUAUAUUCUUUCCUUUUCUAUUAUUUGACCGUUUGGUACUUGCCUUAGAUGAUUCUAGUAUUUUUGUAUAUAAGGAUCUUGUACACAGCAACAAAUAUAUAUGAGCAUUUCCACAAUUCUUUACAUGGUAUCAGAGAAAAUUUUGCUCAUUUAUGCUUUUCUCUUUGACAAUCAUGUCUAGUAGUUUGAAUCCAAUAUCAGAAACAUCAAAUUCCCUCAUUACCGAUGCUUCUUCACCAUACUUUCUUCAUUCAUCUGAUCAUCCUGGAGCCAUUCUUGUAUCUAAUGUGCUAACAGGUGAUAAUUAUUCAACAUGGAAAAUAUCCAUGAAGAUGGCAUUAAAUGCCAAAAACAAAUUGGGUUUUAUUGAUGGAAGCAUACAAAAACCUUCAUCAACCUCACAAGAUUUAAAAACUUGGGAGCGAUGCAAUGACAUGGUCCUUUCAUGGAUGCUCAAUGGAAUAGAGAAAAAUCUUGCCAACAGCCUCAUUUAUUGUGAUACUCCACGCUCUCUUUGGCUUGGGUUGGAAGAACGUUUUUCACAAAGUAAUAAUCCACGGAUUUAUGAACUUAAGAGAGCCAUAUGCAAUCACUAGCAAGAGCAAAAAUCAUUAGUGAUUUAUUUUAAUACUUUGAAAUUUUAUUAGGAUGAAUUGUCCACAUUAACCACUAUUUCUUCUUGCAAGUGUGAAACUUCAUAUGAAUUGCAGGGAUUACUAGAGACUGAAAAGGUGUUUCAAUUCCUAAUGGGUCUCAAUGAUUCAUAUUCUUCGGUACGAAGUCAAAUCUUAGCCAUGGAACCACUUCCAAAUGUUGGAAAAACAUAUUCAAUUAUUCAUCAGGAAGAACGUCAACGACUUCUCCAUGUUUCCAGUCAACCAUCCAUUGAAUCAACAGCCUUGACAGCCAAUAAUAAGACUCAAAUGACCAGCUGUCAAAAUCAUUCACAUCCUAGCCAUUUGCAUGGAGUACAAGAGACACAAGGACGGGGUAGACCUUUCUGCGAUCAUUGCCAGAAAUAUGGGCAUAUAAAAGCCAAAUGUUACAAAAUUGUUGGCUAUCCACCAAACUGGAAACAUUCAAAUCGAUCGCAUGUUGCUGCUCCUACAACCACAAAGCCACAACAACUAGAUGAUCAUCCCAUUCCAACAGACAAGAAUUCCUGGUCUACUAUCCAAAUUCCUGGUCUCACGGCUGAACAAUAUCAACAAUUAUUAUCUAUACUUUCAACAAGUGAGCAACCAUCUACUGCAAACUUAGCUGGUAAAAUCAUUCCUUUUUGCAAUUCUGCUAUUAACUCAUAUAAUAAUUCUUGGAUAAUUGAUAGUGGGGCAUCUGAUCACAUGACCCCUAAUAUUUCUUCCUUUAAAAAUUUUGUGCCCAUGUCUCAUGUCAAACCCGUGAGACUACCAAAUGGCACAACUGUUCCUACAACAAAAUGUGGAUCCAUUAAAUUAUCCUCCUCUUUGACUUUAGAUAAUGCCUUAUUGGUUCCUCAUUUUAAUUUUAAUCUAUUAUCUGUAAGCAAGCUAACCAAGGAUUUGAACUGUGCUGCUAUAUUUUUUUCCUUCAUUUUGUGUUUUUUAGGACCUUUCAACGAAGAAGCUGAUUGGAAAGGGUGAAGUUUGGGAUGGACUAUAUUAUUAUGAGCUUAUCAAUGGUCAUUCUUCCCUUCCUUCAGUAAUGAACGUUGCAACGGAACCCAAUUCCAAUCUUUGACAUUUGUGACUCGGUCACCCUUCUAAAGACCGAAUGCAGCGUUUGUCUUUUAUUUCUGAUAUUGCAUCAUUUAAUUCUUGUUGUGAAAUUUGUCAACUUUCAAAAAACACUAGAAGUUCAUUUCAAUUGAAUAAAAAUCGUUCUGAUAUGCCAUUUCAAUUAAUUUUUUGUGAUAUUUGGGGACCUCAUCGCACAUCUACAUAUACGGGAGCAUAUUAUUUUCUUACUAUUGUUGAUGACCAUACUCGUUGUACUUGGGUUUACCUCAUACGGCACAAGUUUGAAGCUUUUCAAUUAUUAAAAAAUUUUUACUUCUUGAUCAAGACACAAUUUCACACACAAAUUAAAAAAAAAAUUUGUAUUAAUCAAGGAAGUGAAUUUUUAUCAAAUCAGAUGCAAUUUUUUUCAUGAGCAUGGCAUCUUGCAUGAACACACUUGUGUUGAAACACCUCAACAAAAUGGGGUAGCAGAACGCAAGUAUCGACAUAUUUUAGAAGUUGCACGUGCAUUAUGUUUUCAAGCACAUUUACCUUUGUCUUUCUGAGGAGAUUGUGUUUUAGUUGCAACCCAUUUGAUUAAUCGUAUACCCACUCCUAAUCUUGGUGGUCAAUCACCUUAUGAAAUGCUUUUUAAGACUAAACCUCACUAUGAUCGUCUUCGUGUCUUUGGCUGUCUUUGUUAUGCUCAUACCAACAGUGCUAAUCGUCAUAAAUUUGCUCCCCGUGCUACCAAGUGUAUAUUUGUUGGUUACCCAUUUGGGUAUCUCGGAUACAAAGUUUAUGAUAUCAUUAAUAAAAAGACUUUUAUUUCUCGUGAUGUUACUUUUGUGGAAACUGAAUUCCCAUUCAAAACUAUCACCAAUCAACAAGAAAAUAGCAAUCUUUUACCUCUUCCUAUCAUACUUCCUGCCAAUGAAAAUGCACAGCUCCUUCCAACUUCUUCCAAUGAAAAGCUACUCCACCAAGGUACAUCUGAUUCAAUAGUUCUCCCUUCUCCACCUCUUCGACGAUCCCAACGACAGUCUUGUCGUCCAAAUUAUCUUCAGAAUUAUAUUUUCUCUACUGCACUUCACGGUACAUUUGGCAACUCUAUUACUUUUACUAAUCAUCCACCAUUGGUAAGUUCUUUAUAUCCAUUAUCCAAGUAUUUAUCAUAUGACAAGUUUUCUAGUGAUCAUGUAGCCUUUCUUUAAGCUAUAUCUCACGGUGUUGAACCAACUACAUAUUCUCAAGCCGUUCAACAUGCUUAUUGGCGCAAUGCUAUGGAUAUAGAGAUUAAAGCUUUGGAGCAAAGUAACACUUGGACAAUACAAGAUCUACCCCCCGGCAAGAAACCAAUUGGUUGUAAAUGAGUGUUUAAAAUUAAAAGAAAAGCUGAUGGUUCUAUUGAUAGAUACAAAGCAUGCCUUGUUGCUAAAGGAUACACACAAACUGAAGGUUUGGAUUACCAUGAGACAUUUGCACCUGUUGCAAAACUUGUGACUGUUAGAUGUGUAUUGGCAAUGGCAGCUAUUCGAGGGUGGUUAUUAUUUCAGUUAGAUGUUCAUAAUGCAUUUCUUCAUGGCGACUUGCAUGAGGAAAUUUAUAUGACCUUACCUCCAGGAGUUCGUAAACAGGGGGAGUCUUAUCAAUUUUGUCGGUUAAACAAGUCCCUUUAUGGUCUUAAGCAAGCUUUUCAAAAAUUGGUUUGAAAAAUUCUCAUCCGCUCUUAAACAAAUUGGUUACAUUCAAUCUUGUGCUGAUUCUUGUUUAUUUACUAAUAUGCACGAUUCUCAUUUUACAUUGGUGCUUGUGUAUGUUGAUGAUAUAAUAAUUGCUGGUAACCAUCUUGACACUAUAACUGCAUUGAAGAUAUUUUUACAGGCUCAAUUUCAUAUUAAAGACUUGGGAACUUUGAAAUAUUUUUUAGGAAUUGAAGUGGCUCGUUCAAAGCAAGGGAUUUUCUUAAAUCAAAGGAAAUAUGCUUUAGAUAUACUUCAAGACAGUGGACAAUUAGGCACACGGCCAUCUUCUUUUCCAAUGGAAUAAAACUUGAAGCUCUCUAACGAUCAAGGAACCCUUUGUCAAAAUCCUGACCACUACUAACCACUGUCAUAGGAUGUCUCAUCUAUUUGACAAUCACCCGGCCAGAAAUUACAUAUGCUGUGAACAUACUUAGUCAAUUUAUGCACACUCCAAGACGACCACAUUAUGAUGUUGCCCUGCGUGUCUUACGUUACAUUAGAUCUUCUCCCGGCGCUGGUAUCCUCUUGUCCUCCGCUAGCUCUUUGGAACUCUCUGCCUUCUCAGAUUCAGAUUGGGCAAGUUGCCCCAUGACCCGUCGAUCCACCACUGAAUAUAUUAUCAUGCUCGGCAACAAUCCUAUUUCUUGGAAAACCAAGAAGCAACCAUUUGUAUCGCGCUCUUCCGCUGAAGCUGAAUAUCGAGCAAUGGCGACAACAACAUGUGAAUUGGUUUGGUUGAAAACUCUACUUCAUGAUCUUCAUGUGACCCAUCCAAUGCCUAUAACUUUACAUUGUGACAAUCAAGUUGUGCUUCAUAUCGCUGCGAAUCCCAUCUUCCAUGAGCGUACCAAGCACAUAGAAAUAGACUGCCAUCUUGUUCGUGAAAAGCUUCAUGCCAAAAUCAUUUCCUUAACUUAUGUGCCUUCACGACAACAAUUGGCUGACAGUUUUACCAAAGUUCUUGGUAAAGAUCAAUUUCAAUAUCUUCUUGGCAAGUUGGGAGUUACGGAUCUUCACUUUCCAACUUGAGGGGGAGUAUUAGAACAAGAAUCAAUCGGUCCUUGAUCUUAGCCACUAACUUAGCAUAUUGUAAUAUUCAUUCUCCUUUAUAUUCUUUCCUUUUCUAUUAUUUGACUGUUUGGUACUUGCCUUAGAUGAUUAUAGUAUUUUGGUAUAUAAGGAUCUUGUACACAGCAACAAAUAUAUAUGACCAUUUCCACAAUUCUUUACAGGAAGUAAGGAACAACUUCAUAGAUCCAUUAUUCUUAAAUUAUAAAAAUACAUAAACAACAUAUGUAUAUGAUUUUAGACAAAUCAAGAUAGUUUAAUUCAUACCUUUGUGAGUGAGAUCAAAGGAGGGAUAUUAUCAUAUUACCUCUUAAUGGCUAGAGACUCGUGUUGAUAAUGUGUUAUAUCAUUUAUCAAUUGGGAGUGCAACAAUAUAGCAAGAGAAAUAAAGAAGGCAAAUAAGAGACACAAUGUUUAGAGGGGAAUUUUAUUCAAUCUCAAAUAUAUACAAAUAGGAAGCAAAGGCCUGCUUUUAUAGUGAUACAAGCAUAAAGUAGUAAGUAAUACCUCGUAAUUAUAAGAGAUGACAAUCCUCAGAUUAGGGAGAUAAUGAGAGUUAUAAAAGAUGGAAAGUUACUUGUGAGGAGAUCGAAGAUUGCUUUGAUGAACAUCCACAUAUAUUAUAAUAAUUUCAUAACAUACAUUUACUUUUAAUUUAUUUUUAAGGUUAAUUGGUUAAUAAGCUUCUUGUGUAGUAGAUUGAUUAAUGUGCCCAAGAAUAUUGUUGGAUGCUAUUAUUUUAAAGGCAAAGAAAAAUAAGGCAUAAGUGUCACAUGUUCAAUAGCAGGGAUGUUUUGAGGAAUUUCUUAAAAUAAAAAGACUAAGUAGAUCUUUAGCCCAAAAUAUAGGGAUUAAGCAAGCAUUCAUCCUAUUGAAAAGCAAAGUAAACUAAUGUAACCAUAAUUGAAUAUAAAGUUAACUCUUCUAUGGCAUUAUAGAGAACAAAAGAAGGAAAAAUAUUAUUCAAAUUCAAGAUAAGAAGGUAGUUUAUUAACUGUCUAAAGUUCAAAAUUUUAUUAAUUUCAGACCUUUUUUAAAAUUUACUUAUUUGUUUUUUUGUAACUUAUGUUUGAUUUUUAGAUAUUUACAUCUGAAUAGAAAAAGUAAGAUUUUUUGACUUUUAUCUAAAUGGAAAAAGAUCUGAAUGAUUAGUAAAUAUUAUAUUCCAUAAAUAUCUCUAUAAAAUAACUUAUUUCCUAAUCUAUAAAAUAGAAUCCCCUUUUUUUAUUUUGAUUUACAAGGACGUAAAUGUCAAAGAACUAAGUUUAAGAUGUUUUUUAUUAUAAAAACAAAUAAGAUGCCACUUACAUUCAUAUAUUAAAAAAUGAAAAACAAACAUGUGAUUCAAAUUUUCGUAUUCAAACCCAUUCAAACUUGAAAAAAAUUUAGACACAUUCAAAUUUCAGACAAAAAAGACAAAUACUACUUCAAUUUUUUUUUCGCUUUGCAACUGCCCACUGCUAACCAAAUAAAAAAAGAUUUUCAAUUUGGAAUUAUGUUAUCCAACAUAUGAAGACAAUUCUUCCUUUGAACGAAUCUUUAUGAUUGUUUUCUGAACGAAUAUUGCUCUAAAUUAAAAUAUUUUAGAACAAAAAAUAGUUGAUUGCCAAAUGUACAAUAGGUACAAUUUUCUUUUUUCAGCUCUCUUUUGGAAGAGAACUAUGUCGUCCUUUAUAAUUAUUAUUUCUUGAAAGAAUACAAACUUAAAUUACUGGCUUUUUAUUUGUAAAAUCAUAUAAAAUAGACUCUUUUAAGGAAAAUAUCUCAUACCGGAGAUAAUAAUUUCUGGACUAAGAAUAUAAACUUAAAACAGCACUACUAUCAAAUUAUCUUUAAAAGAGUUCCUUGAUCAAAAGAAUUUAUUUAUCAUUUUUCACAGUUUAAAAAAAUAAAAAAAAUUACAUAGAAAUAAUUGGAAGAUUUCCUAAAUAAGCAUCAAAUAAAUGCUAAUUUAUUGCAUGAUACUUGGAAGAAACCAUAAAUAAAAAUUAAGGAUUUAUAAUUUUAAAGACAAGUUGGGAGUUUAAAUUUUCUUGCCAUCUUGAGGGAGAAUAAUAAGACCGAAAUAAUAUUGAUGAAACAAAAUAAUCAAUCAAAUAUUUGAUUGUCUUCAUCUUAAUCAGUGAUCAAGAAAAAUUGGUUGUUAAUUAACAUAAAAAUUGAUUGACUCAAUAUUUACUAAUAGAUCAUUAUUCCCAAAUUAUGUUAAUUAUAUAUAUUUCAAAUACUUAUAAGAAUUGAGUUUGCUUACGGUUUAUUAAAUAUAGUCUCUUAAAAGUUUACAUGUGGCCCAUACAAAGCUAACAUUACUCUGUUAUAGCAUUUCGGGCAUCCAACAAGAUCCUCUUCUUCACUUAUUGUUAGAACUAGAGCUAACAAAUUAAUUACUUAAUCACGGCUAAGUUUGGAAUUAAAAUCAAACUAAAUUAUCUAAUUGGUUGAGUUCGGUUUCCGUUUGUAUGGGCUACAUGAAAUUUUUUCUCUCAUCUUCUCUCGUCUGCUAAUCGCAUCUUUCUCUCUUUCGACUCUCUAAUUUCUCUCUUGGAUUUGGUUACCAAGCACAUAAAAUUGAAGCCACCAUCUCGCUCAUAACAAACAACUAGUCGGAUCCACCAAACUGUUGCUGUCAUCUUGAGCCAUUCAAGUAACUUGAACACAUCAUCUUCUCGUAAAUUCUCUUUCAUUUUCGAAUUAAAGACAAGGUAAGGAUGUAAUCUUGACUUUUGUGUUUUUUGUGAUGACUACAGAAAAUGCUAUAUGAAACAAUUAGGGAUUUAUGUGCUAUAUAAUAAUAAUAAUAAUAAUAAUAAUAACAACAACAACAACAACAACAACAAGUAGUCAUUUAUGAAUUUUGAGUGAAAAAUUAGGGAUUUAUGUGCUUCUUCUUCUUCUUCUUCUUCUUCUUCUUAUUAUUAUUAUUAUUAUUAUUAUUAUUAUUAUUAUUAUUAUUAUUAUUAUUAUUUUCCCUAUAUUAAACAAGUAGUCAUUUAUGAAUUUUGAGUGAAAAAUUCACUCGGCUGUGGCAGAUUUUGUGCCUUACAAGUAGUCGAUUUCACGCAUUCAUCAUCACCAUUACUAUGUUCAUUAUUAUUUGCUAUUGUUUUUUACUUUUUCUGCUGUUAUUGAUUAAAUUGACAUUAAAUUUAUGUCUUGUCCAUUACAAGACUUAACAAUAUAAUCCAGGUGUAACAUGGACACUACAGAUGAUACAAGUGCGCAAGACCUAGUCAGAGAGCGUAGUACACUUUUUGUAAGUAUAAACUAAUUGAUAUUUUUCGAGUUGUUAUGUUAGCAACCAUUUUAAAAACACUUUUGUUUUCGAAUUUUGGUUACGUUGAAGUGAAGGGGAUUGAGUUGCCAUUAAAAAUUAAAGUAUUUUGGUCUUUAUAAACAAAGCGCUUUUGUGGAAUAGAUCUAAGAAGAUGCUAAUCUUCUUAAUAAUUUUUUUUUUUUUUAAAUUCUAUUACUCUUGGUGCAACAAAUUUCCUAGUGCCAAAACCUUGUCAUAAAAAAAAAAGAAAAAAAAAAAGAAAACAGAAAAAGAGUGAAAAUCUCUUCGGUCAACCAAAUUACUCAAAUUCGUAAAAUAAUAUAAUACUUGAACCUUAAAAAUAAAAGCUCUAUAUAUUACUAUAUAAACAGUGAUAAACACAAUUACUAUCUAAGCCCACUCGAAAUUUUAUCAUACAGUCGUAUAUUUAUCACCUUAUGUACGUAUAUUGUAAUUUGGAUACGUUAUUUAAUUGUAUUUAUAUUGUGUAUAUUUACCACAUUAUGUACGUAUAUAAAAUAUAACGUAUAUUGUGUAAACUUUACUUUUGAGCUAAGUAUUUUCCUGAAAAAGGAAAUAAAUCAAUAAAAAUUAUUGUGUGUCAACAUAUUGGUUAUAUUAGUCUAUACACGUCGGUUUUAAUUACGAUAUCUCUUCCUAAAUAUUUUACUUUUUUUGAAAGUAACUCAAAAAUUUGUUGUAUAAAAAACACUAUCACUUUCAAUCAUAUGAUGGUUACAUUUUAAUCAUUUAUUCAUAACGUCCUCCUGGACCUCCAUUGGGGAUAUUAUAGUGUGUCAUUCUGUAACCCAGAACUAUCAUUUCUUCCACCUCUACGAUAUCUUGUAAUGUUACUUGCAGCUUCAUAAGCCACAGAAACAUCAUCAAAAUCAACAAAUUGUUUUCUUUUCUUUUUUUUUAGGAAAGUAAUAAGAAAAAUAAAAGCUGCAUUAUUCUAUUUAUGAUCAAUAGAAGAAUUCAAGUGACUGGAGAAAAUUCAGAUUGUUGAAAAUGGGUUCUCAAACGAGAUAAGCCUCAGGUAGUAGACCUCACCAACAUCAGUACCAGACUCAAUCCAUAGAAUCGGUCUCGUCUUAAGCCUAACAGCUCCCUUCUAAUAUAAUCUAGUGAGAACGGUGAGGUGCUUGGUAUAUCAUACACCAAAAAUCAACGAUGCUUGGACUUUCAAGAAAAAGAGAAAAACAAAUGCAUGCACGGGGAAACGUACUAAUCAAAAGCAAAUCAUAUAAUUUACAAAUUAUUAUAGGCUUGUAGCCAUAAGAUCGAGAGAAACUAAAACAUUUCUUGCAUUUUCUGGCCAUAUUUUCUAAAUGAAGGGAUGGUCCAUUGCUGCUCCGCCAUACUGGAUCUCAAGAUGUCAUUAACAAUAGGUCUCAAGAUGUCCCUAACAAGGUGUCACUCUGAUACCGACAGGUCUACCACUUAGACAUAACACUUGCCAUGUAAAAUGUUCUCCUAUUUUUGCUAUUUCCUUCGUAUCUUGCAUUGAAUUAUUGCCAGCAAAUGAUAUUUCGAGUCAAAAAAGUAUAUUCAAUUAUUGCAUAUAUGCUCCUAGGUAAUUUGCACAAUUGAAUUAUAGCUGUUAAUCUACUUAUUUACACAAUUGAUUAAUUGUACGCAUCCAUUGCAAGACUUUCGCACUAAGUUUCAAUUUCAACCACAAAUCCUAGCUCUAGAUAAAAAUGAUGUGGUCGUAGAGAUUUCGAAUGUAUUCACUUUGUGAUUAACGGAAGCAUUGCUUUCAUUUGUAAGACGUUGUCAUCACAGAUUAAUUAAUUAAUCAUCAUUUUGGUAAAGGAAAAAGAAUGAAAAAAGCUGCACUAUUUUAAAGGCCAUUUGGUAUAUGACCACUUCGCAUUGGACUUGGAGACCGGGUAAUUUUGUCAUCUCUACUCCAAGAAUCUGCUCUCAUGCUACUUGCAUGGUUCCAUCUUUGAAGUCUGGUACUGUUUUGUUUGGAAAAUACCCCACUAUAAUAUCUUCACGAAGAAAAUUGAUCCCCGUUAACUAGCGUGAUUAGCUUAGUUUCUUAAAUUCAACGUUCGUUUGGUUAAUUGUCUGUUAGUUUUAGAAUUUUGAUUAGCCAAUAAAACAAUGAGUUUUAUUGUUUAAUAAGGCAAGUUGAAAUAAAUUCAAUCCUACUCACAGAAAAAUUUAAAUGACACAUAUCAUAAUCUUUUUCAUAUCUUCAGAAAAAUUAAAUCAUAAGAGGAUCAUGAACAAUUUGAUGAUGCUCUGAAAUAUAGUCUUCUGUUUUUCAAGGAAAAAAUAAGGAAGUUAAAAACAUGUUUAUCAGGUUUUUCAGAGAUCAUUUUGACGUUUUUGUUUAAAAACAUGAAAAUUGUUCUUAUUCUCGUAAACCAGAAAAAAUUAUCUGGCCGGUUAGCUAAUUAUUCUUGUUCUUCUGUUCUUUUUUAUUUGAAUUGUUUCUCCCUUUUCCAUUCAUUUUUCACUAUGAAAUUAAUUACUAAUUAAUCUACAGUUAGUUUCUCUACAGCUAAUAGGAACGUCAUUUAUGCCCGAAGACUCGCAUCUUUUUUAUUCAUUAUCUACAGUGCCUCACCUCCAAUCUAUGUAUAGGCGGACAUGCAUAUUUAUUAUAUCAAAUAAGUUAUUGAUGGAAAAUAUCACUUUCGAAAUAGAGAAUUAUCCUUAAUUAAAUCUUAGUGGGCCUAAAUUCGAGUAAGAUUUAAUGAUGUAUGAUUCAAAAUUAUUGAAAUCGGACAUUUUAAACAAGAAAAAAAAUAAAAAAUCUUGUUCUCUUUUUUAAAUAAUAAAUUUCAUUGUGAUGGAUUUUUAAUAUUAAAUUAGACAUUUGCUAAAUUGGCUCAAAUAUAAUAGAUCUUAGACCUUGCUUUUAAUGGAUUUAAUUAGGUUUUGGGCAUUUAAAUUAUACAACUGGAGACGGAAUUUAUAAAUAGAUAACAUUCUAAUGUGAUUUUAAAAUAAAUUUGAACUUGAACUUGAUGCAUUUUAUUAAUCCAGAAAGGUAAAUUUAUAAUUUCAACUUUUAAAUAAAACAUAUCCUUUGGAUUUUUUACAUAAACUAGAGGCAAUUGUACAAUAUUUACUUGACUAGUGGUAUAUAUCUCAAAUUUUUUAUCCUAAGAAAUGCCACAUCAUUUGGUUGAUGAGGAUAAUAUAAUUAAUUCACUUAGAUAUUAUAAAAAAUUAUCAACCAAUCAACGAAUAACAUAUCAUUUUCAUUGGGAUGGAAUUUGGAAAAAAAAAUUUAGGACGUCUAUUAUUACUUUAGUAAGAAAGCAUAUUAAGAUGGACUAACAUGUUUGGAUGCCCCAGCCUAAGAUGCAAGAGAUCAAUUUCUUUUGUUGUCUUGAAAUCCCUACUAUUUGACUCAACAACAUUGGCAACAUUUAACCAAUUACUACUAGAACAAAAAGAUAUCAUAGACAAAGGAUUGCUAAUGCAAUUUAUUGACUCAUACUCUAAAGAUAGAGGUAACUCAACAGCACAUUCAUUCUUGCUACUCAUGCACAAUAGCUCAUAUAGCCUAUCUUUAGUCACUCCUUUCAUUUGGAUUUUCACUUGGCUAAAGCAAAUAGAUUUUUGAAGCACAACAUCAAUAUCAUUAUCACGGAACAAUUUUGAGACAUUAAUAAGGUUCUUAAUAACGCUAGGCACAGACAACGAGCUAUUUAGUUUAAUCUGUUUGUGCGGAUCAUAAGUGAGCAAUAUAGAGUAUCCAAUAUGAGAAAUCAAAAGUUUAUCACCAUUUCCAAUAGUAGCUCAUCAUUACCUUGAUAUUCUAAAUUAAAGCUCAUGCUUCCAAUAGCACUGGUUACAUGAUUUGUAGCACCACUGUCAAGGUACCAAGCUCUACUAUUCUCACCGUCAACUGCAACCACAUAUGCUCUUAUUGGAUCUCUUCUUCUAUUUGGCUGUGGAACUGAUAUGAACCCUAUUAAGAACUAACAUGACCCUAACCAAUUUAGUCUCUAAGAUUGAAACCAUUUUUUUUUUUUUUAGAAGAGAUUGAAACCAAAUCUAAAAUUGAAUGGAACCGCGAUUUGAUCUCAAUGAAAGUACGAACCUUGGUAUGUGAUGACGCCACAAUCAGCUAUGGAUGAUCUGAUUGAUAAGUCAAGAGUUUGAACGCCACAGAAAUCCGAUAAGUUCAAAGGGUUAGUUUAAGAACCAAAGAGAAUUAGCUUUCUCACUAAUUGCAUCAAAAUUGAUGUCUUUCUUAUUGGAUACAAGUACAUUAGAUAGGGUUGGUUUAUAAGAAUUUUAAGAAAUAAAUCCUAAACCAAAAUCAAAUCAGAAUCCUAAUUUAAAGCAAAUAAGGAAAGAAACUAAUUCAAACCAUAAUCCUUAUUGGCUUAAAUGCCUUGCAUCAAUUAAAAAUGGAAACAAGGCAAUUAAAAGAGAAAUAAUUGAUUCGUUUUGCCACUUGCCUACUCAAGAAAUGGGAAAGUAUCCUAAAAGGAAAGUUUUUUCCAAACGAGAAACAUCUGAUAAGGUAAAUAAUAUAUUUUCUAGCCAUAAUGUGCAAACCAACUUGCUGAUUUCAUAGAAAUGAUUAUGUGAAAACUUAAAAAGCCUGAAUCACGUAUUUAGUGGUCUAAAUAUCAUGUGCGAUUUCUUCAACGGGGCUCCACGAAUUUGAUUGAGCUCAAGUUGCUUAAAUAAACCCAUUAAGCGAUUUUUUGAAUUUUUUUGCACGAGCUCUUAUGAUGGGUCCAACAAGAACUUGAAUGGGAUAUGAAUAUACCUCAUCUCAUGUGCUUGUGACAGUUUUGUCCUCAAUAUCAUAUUUUUUCCUUCAAAGAAACAAUUUUGCUUCAUAUGGAAAAGGAAAUUCAUAUGGAAAAGGAAAUUUUCCUUCAAAGAAAUAAUUUCAUAACAUACAUUUACUUUUAAUUUAUUUUUAAGGUUAAUUGGUUAAUAAGCUUUUUGUGUAGUAGAUUGAUUAAUGUGCCCAAGAAUAUUGUUGGAUGCUAUUAUUUUAAAAGCAAAGCAAAAUAAGACAUAAGUGUCACAUGUUCAAUAGUAGGGAUGUUUUGAGGAAUUUCUUAAAAUAAAAAGACUAAGUAAUCUUUAGCCCAAAAUAUAGGGAUUAAGCAAGCAUUCAUUCUAUAGAAAAGCAGAGUAAACUAAUGUAACCAUAAUUGAAUAUAAAGUUAACUCUUCUAUGGAAUUAUAGAGAACAAAAGAAGGAAAAAUAUUAUUCAAAUUCAAGAUAAGAAGGUAGUUUAUUAACUGUCUAAAGUUCAAAAUUUUAUUAAUUUCAGACCUUUUUUAAAAUUUGCUUAUUUGUUUUUUUGUAACUUAUGUUUGAUUUUUAGAUAUUUAUAUCUGAAUAGAAAAAGUAAGAUUUUUUUACUUUUAUAUAAAUGGAAAAAGGUCUGAAUGAUUAGUAAAUAUUAUAUUCCAUAAAUAUCUCUAUAAAAUAACUUAUUUCCUAAUCUAUAAAAUAGAAUCCCCUUUUUUUAUUUUGAUUUACAAGGACGUAAAUGUCAAAGAACUAAGUUUAAGAUGUUUUUUAUUAUAAAAACAAAUAAGAUGCCACUUACAUUUAGAUAUUAAAAAAUGAAAAACAAAUAUGUGAUUCAAAUUUUCGUAUUCAGACUAGAGAUGGCCAAUGGGCCGGGCGGCACGUGGCACGGCACGGGCACGGAAUGGGCACGGCACGUGUCCGUACGGCACGACACGGCACGAGCACGUUUCGGUGAGGCACGAGGCACGGCACGGCAUGCACGUGGGCUGUGCCGGGCCUAGAAUUUUAGGCACGCGGGCCUUAAAGCACGGCACGAUUAGAGAUGGGCCAAAGCACGGCACACGAAAAAGCACGUAAUAAGCACGGUUCAUUGGUGGGCUAGCACGCGGCCCGUGAGCCAUCAAUAGCACGUGGGCCAAAAUAUAUCUAAGUAAAUUUUUUUAACAAAAAGUAAAUAUAAAAUGUUAUGAAAUUAAAGUAAAAUAUCUUGAAAUUAAAUGUUUUAAUAUAUUUUUUAGCAUAGACUUCUAAAAAUUAAUUUAAAUCAUUAAAUCUUAGUUUAAAUAAAUAUUCUAAUUUUUUAUGUUUAUAAUUUAUCAAAUGAAUAAUUAAAUAUCAUGAUUUUAAUAAAUAAAUUAUAAAUAUCAUAAUUUUAUUUAUGAUAUUUAUUAAAUGAAUAAUGUUAUUUAUGAUAUUUAAUUUUAUUUAUGAUAUUUAUUUAAUUAUUUAUUUAUGUUUAUAAUUUAUUAAAUGAAUAAGUAAAUAACUAAAUAUCAUGAUUUUAAUAAAUAAAAUUAUAAAUAUCAUAAAUUUAUAAUUUAUAAAUAAAAAAUAAAUCUUUUUACAAAAUUAAUAAUAAAAUAUUUUUCAUAUGAAAUAUUUUUCAUAUUAAUAUUAAAUCAUAACUUAGUUAAUAUUUAAUAGAGAUACGUUUCAUUUGUGAAUGAAAUAUUUUUCAUAUUUAUACACAAGAAAAAAUUAUGAUAAAUUAAAAAUUACAUUUUCAUUAAAUGAAGUUAAAGUACAAUUAUAACUUGUAAGUUGUGACCUAUGAUUUGUUAUAUUAAUAUUUCGUAGUUAUGACUUAUUGUAGUGAUUAUUCGAGGAUUGUAUUUUUAAUUUUAAUUAAUUAUUAUUAUGAGCUAUGGAAUUAAAUUUAUGUAUUGUUGUGUUAUGAAUUAUGAUUGAUUAUUGUGAAAUAAAAUAUAUAGUUGUGAAAUUGUGAUAAACUAAUAAUAAAAUGUUAAUUGCUCUCUUAAUAAAAAUUAAUAUGAUUAUGAUUAUGAAUAUUAUUAUUAUUAUUAUUAUUAUUAUUAUUAUUAUUAUUAUUAUUAUUAUUAUUAUUAUUAUUAUUAUUAUGUUGGUGGGUUUAAAAAAGCACGUCAGGUAUGUGGGUUUGAAUAAAGCACGCCAGACACGUGGACUUUUUUAAGCACGCCAAAAAAACAAAGUUGAUGGGCUUUUUUUUGGGAACGGCCCACGGCACGGCACGAGCGGGCUCGUGCCGUGGGCCGUGCUGGGCUCAACUGAAAAAAAGGUAUGCACGGCACGGCACAGCCCACCACGAGCCCUUGUGGGCUGACAGUUUGCCGGCACGGCCCAUUGGCCAUAGUUAAUUCAGACCCAUUCAAACUUGAAAAAAAUUUAGACACAUUCAAAUUUCAGAUAAAAAAGACAAAUGCUACUUAAAUUUUUUUCGCUUUGCAACUGCCCACUGCUACACCAAAUAAAAAAAGAUUUUCAAUUUGGAAUUAUGUUAUCCAACAUAUGAAGACAAUUCUUCCUUUAAACGAAUCUUUAUGAUUGUUUUCUGAACGAAUAUUGCUCUAAAUUAAAAUAUUUUAGAACAAAAAAUAGCUGAUUGCCAAAUGUACAAUAGGUACAAUUUUCUUUUUUCAGCUCUCUUUUGGAAGAGAACUAUGGCGUCCUUUAUAAUUAUUAUUUCUUGAAAGAAUACAAACUUAAAUUACUGGCUUUUUAUUUGUAAAAUCAUAUAAAAUAGAUUCUUUUAAGGAAAAUAUCUCAUACCGGAGAUAAUAAUUUCUGGACUAAGAAUAUAAACUUAAAACAGCACUACUAUCAAACUAUCUUUAAAAGAGUUCCUUGAUCAAAAGAAUUUAUUUAUCAUUUUUCACAGUUAAAAAAAAUAAAAAAAAUUACAUAGAAAUAAUUUGAAGAUUUCCUAAAUAAGCAUCAAAUAAAUGCUAAUUUACUGCAUGAUACUUAGAAGAAACCAUAAAUAAAAAUUAAGAAUUUACAAUUUUAAAGACGAGCUGGGAGUUUUAAUUUUCUUGCCAUCUUGAGAGAGAAUAAUAAGACCAAAAUAAUAUUGAUGAAACAAAAUAAUCAAUCAAAUAUUUGAUUGUCUUCAUCUUAAUCAGUGAUUAAGAAAAAUUGGUUGUUAAUUAACAUAAAAAUUGAUUGACUCAAUAUUUAUUAAUAGAUCAUUAUUUCCAAAUUAUGUUAAUUAUAUAUAUUUCAAAUACUUAUAAGAAUUGAGUUUGCUUACGGUUUAUUAAAUAUAGUCUCUUAAAAGUUUUCAUGUGGCCCAUACAAAGCUAACAUUACUCUGUUAUAGCAUUUCGGGCAUCCAACAAGAUCCUCUUCUUCACUUAUUGUUAGAACUAGCGCUAACAAAUUAAUUACUUAAUCACGGCUAAGUUUGGAAUUAAAAUCAAACUAAAUUAUCUAAUUGGUUGAGUUCGGUUUCCGUUUGUAUGGGCUACACGAAAUUUUUUCUCUCAUCUUCUCUCGUCUGCUAAUCGCAUCUUUCUCUCUUUCGACUCUCUAAUUUCUCUCUUGGAUUUGGUUACCAAGCACAUAAAAUUGAAGCCACCAUCUCGUUCAUAACAAACAACUAGUCGGAUCCAUCAAACUGUUGCUGUCAUCUUGAGCCAUUCAAGUAACUUGAACACAUCAUCUUCUCGUAAAUUCUCUUUCAUUUUCAAAUUAAAGACAAGGUAAGGAUGUAAUCUUGACUUUUGUGUUUUUUGUGAUGACUACAGAAAAUGCUAUAUGGAACAAUUAGGGAUUUAUGUGCUUCUUCUUCUUCUUCUUCUUCUUCUUCUUCUUAUUAUUAUUAUUAUUAUUAUUAUUUUCCCUAUAUUAAACAAGUAGUUAUUUAUGAAUUUUGAGUGAAAAAUUCACUCGGCUGUGGCAGAUUUUGUGCCUUACAAGUAGUCGAUUUCACGCAUUCAUCAUCACCAUUACUAUGUUCAUUAUUAUUUGCUAUUGUUUUUUACUUUUUCUGCUGUUAUUGAUUAAAUUGACAUUAAAUUUAUGUCUUGUCCAUUACAAGACUUAACAAUAUAAUCCAGUUGUAACAUGGACACUACAGAUGAUACAAGUGCGCAAGACCUAGUCAGAGAGCGUAGUACACUUUUUGUAAGUAUAAACUAAUUGAUAUUUUUCGAGUUGUUAUGUUAGCAACCAUUUUAAAAACACUUUUGUUUUCGAAUUUUGGUUACGUUGAAGUGAAGGGGAUUGAGUUGCCAUUAAAAAUUAAAGUAUUUUGGUCUUUAUAAACAAAGCGCUUUUGUGGAAUAGAUCUAAGAAGAUGCUAAGAAUUGAGUUUGCUUACGGUUUGUAAUCUUGACUUUUGUGUUUUUUGUGAUGACUACAGAAAAUGCUAUAUGAAACAAUUAGGGAUUUAUGUGCUAUAUAAUAAUAAUAAUAAUAAUAAUAAUAAUAAUAAUUAUUAUUAUUAUUAUUAUUAUUAUUAUUAUUAUUAUUAUUAUUUUCCCUAUAUUAAACAAGUAGGCAUUUAUGAAUUUUGAGUGAAAAAUUCACUCGGCUGUGGCGGAUUUUGUGCCUUACAAGUAGUCGAUUUCACGCAUUCAUCAUCACCAUUACUAUGUUCACUAAAAUAUAACGUAUAUUGUGUAAACUCUACUAUAAACAAUUAAUAUUUGGUCAUAUUUCUUUUGGCAAAUAACCCCCUGGGAUUUCUUCUUUAUCGCAACAUGAAAUUGAAGAUAUUUAAAAGGUUUUGAAACGUUAUUUUUAUUGAAAGGAGUUGCCAUUUUUAAUUUUGGUUGCAAAUAAUAAUUCCUUGGUGGUUACAAUAUUUUUAAAUAUCCCCAUUAAGGCUGUAGGGGCUACAAAUCUUCAUUCUAGAUCUGUAACAUAUGACUAUGAAUUAUAUAUAAAUGAGCUAUUUUUCUUUAUCUUUGGAUAUAUUAUAUACUCUAUUGUUUUCUCCGAAACUCUACGAUAAACAAUUAAUACUUUUCUUUGCAACUUCGACAUUCAAAGACUUGGUUUAUUCUUCAGGUAAAUCGUGCUUAGGAAGAAGAGCGGCAUGAAGAUAUUUGGGUUGUAUUUUGGAGCUGCGAAAUACCGACAAUAUCCGCCCGUGGGGAGGGCUCUUUGACAUUUGGGUUGUAUUUUGGACAUUUGUUCUUCUCCAUAGUACUGGCCGGAUUCUUCAACAAUACCCUAAUACUUCUAAAGUCAAAGACAUGCUUCUCUUUCGUUGAAUAUAUUUGCAUCUCUAGGUGAAAGUUGUAAUUGGCUGAGGAAAUUUUUAUUUUUAUAGAAUGGAAGAACAGGGACUUUACGUGGAGAAAAAAUUGUAGUGGGUAUUUUCCAUAGAUAUGGCUAUACAUGUAGCAUGACGAGCUGAUGACGGGAGUUCAUUUGACGGAAUUAGCCCUUCAAUGGGUUGUCGUUAUAAACCAGAUGGCCAAUAUAAUCAUGCAGCCUAUUUCAGCAAUGUUGUUUAUUAUGAUAUUAAUUUUGUGACUCAAGAAGCUGCAAGUAACAAUAAUACAGGACACCGUACAUAUGCAAGUAAUUGUUUUGGUUGCAAAAUGCAACACUUUCUGGACCAUCUUCUGGUUAUAAUUUUGUUUUUAGUAAAAUGUAAUUUUUUUUUAUUAUAGACAUUGUAUAAUUGUUUUAAAAUUUGGUAUAGCAAUAAAUAUGAUCUAUGUUUUGGACUGGUAGGUGGUUUCUUAAAAUUCUAUCCCAAAAGUUUAUCUUAAAGUUCUAUCUUAAAUUAUGUGGUCUUUAGACUGAUUGGUGUAAUUAAUUUAAUUAAUAAAAAAGAUCAGAUCUUCUCCUAGAUAUUUUUUUCCUCCUCCUAAACUUUUAAUAAUCCAUUGAUAUGUGUCAUUAAUGAAAUUAAUAGAUAAAAAAUUAUUUUAUCUUUACCGCUUUAACCCUACCCAAUUUGUGGACCCAUUUUAUCUUCCACGUGAUUGGUAUUAUUACUUUAUUUGUCUUUUUAUGUACUAUUAUUUAUUCUGUGGACCCAUUCAUGCACCCACGUUUCGGACAUGCAAUUUAACCGUAGCCGUUAAUCUUACCUAAUCAUAUGUGCGAUAAAAAUCUGCCGUCGAUCCGUUAUAUGUAAGUACCAACCAUGCGUUAUUAUUCGAUUUGCUACGUUACAAAAUCUUAUUGAUAAGGUUUUUUCAGAGAUUUUUCUUUUAAGACUACCAUUACCUACGUUACAAAAUUAAAUUAUAAGAGGAUCUUGAUAAGGUUUUUUCAGAAACCACUUUGUAAAGUCAAAAUAAAGUCUUCGCCGUCUGCCUCCAAUGACUAACGCCCCAGGCCCUUGAUGAAAUAGAAAUCCGAGCAGUGAAGUCACACUUCUCAUUGAAAACGACUAAUAAAAAUUAAGUUGGAAACUCGAACAGUAACUAGAUAACCUUACUCUUUUAUAUUUUAAGAAUUUGUUCAGAAAAUAUUACGAUCUCUUCUAACUUAAGUUGAAAUGCCGUUUCUAUUUCUUAUUCUUAUAAAAUGUGUACUUAUCAAUAAAGUUUCUUAUAUAAAAUUUUCAACUAAGAAUGAAUCUUCUUCAUCCAAGAUGCUAAUACAGUCCUAAAGGUGGUGGUGAUGAAAGAAUGGACAUUAAACCAUUAAACUUCAUUCUCGUAGUCUCAAGCGUGGUUGCUGGUCCUCCAUAAGACCAAUAAUCUCUCCCUCCGUGACUCGUAACCAGACUGUGAUAUCACUUGUUGGACCCAGACACUUAUUGUGACUUUUUAGCAAGUCGCCAAUCACUAAAUUGGUCCAGAUUUAACAUGCUUAUUUAUGGAUCUUUCAAAUUAAAGUUUUCAUAUUCCUUUGAAAACUAAUUGGAAAUAAAAUAUAAAAAAAAAGAAUAAUAAACUAUUUAACUUCAUCCAUUUAUAAUCCUAAGGAUAUUCAUUGGGCACCCAUAAGAUCAACAGUCUUAUACUAUAAUUUAAAUUUAAUUAUGUUUUAUUGACAAAAAUUAGCUAUUAUCAUUAUGAAAUGCCCAUUUCACUGGACUAUCUUUGAUUAUAAAAUUGUUUUAGCAAUUCCAAGUGAAAUGAUAUUUUGAACGAGGAAAAGACUCAAUUAGACAUUUAGACCGGGCUGCAGUUCUGGCCUCAUUUUGUCCUGAAGCUCAGCCAUGAUCCUGCCAAAGUUUUGGAGCCAUUCUAGCCACAUUUUAUCUUACUAUUAUGCACCACAUUUACUUUUUCGAUCUUCGAGACUUCGACUGGGUCAAACAUAUCCUCAAGCUCCGCUUUAACCUUACGAAAUUUGUGCCACUUGGCCUUGUAGCUCAGUGGUGGAUCAUUACCCUCAAAGUUAAGCAUGAUUAUGAGGGCAAUGGUUCGAGUUUUUACGGACUUAAUCUCCCUCAAUUAAACAUAAUUGUGUGGAGAUUUUUUAUAACGUCUUUCUCUCUUGUGAAAUGCGAGUGGAGUAGAGAUAUCCCUCCUCCGUGAGGGGUAUUUGGAUGAGCAUGUACUUCAUAGAAUAAAAAUGUAAUUAUAUAAGUCCUAUGUAUAUAUAUCUGAUUGUAAAUAUCAAUGUAAUGACUUGUUGUCAUAGCAAUUGUAUAUAUCUCUGUGUAAUAUAGUAAUAUGAUACUUAAUCAAUUUAAAAAAAAAAAAAAACUUACGAAAUUUGUUGACCCAUUUUACCUUCACGUGAUUGGUAUUACUACUUUUGUCGACAAGGCUACGUUGCAGUUGCAGACUCAGCUGAGUACCAACAGCUUUUCCUCUCUCCUGCAACGCGUGGAUGCUCCUUGUUUGUCUUCUUAUCUGCAAUUAUUUUCUCUGUGGACCCAUUCAUGCACCCACGUCUCGAAUAUGCAAUCUAACCCACGUCUCGAAUAUGCAAUUAUUUUUUUUGUGGACCCAUUUUACCUUCACGUGAUUGGUAUUACUACUUUUGUGGACAAGGCUACGUUGCAGUUGCAGACUCUGUAUGCAACAGCUCAGUCCAAACUGGCCUUGUAUCAGCUGAGUUCCAACAGCUUUUCCUCUCUCCUGCAGCGCGUGGAUGCUCCUUGUUUGUCUUCUUAUCUGCAAUUAUUUUCUCUGUGGACCCAUUCAUGCACCCACGUCUCGAAUAUGCAAUUUAACCGUAGCCGUUAAUCAUAUCUAACUAUAUGUACGAUAAAAAUUCCGCCGUCGAUCCGCUAUAUGUAAGUACCAAUCAGGCAUUAGUUUUCUAAUAAGACUUUAUUUCUUUUAUUAGCUCAUAUUCAUCCAUGUGUUUAUCAUUCCUAGCUAAUUCGAUUAUUUAAAAUAACAAUGAUCCAUCAAUAAUUUUAUUCUUCGACCGGCUAAAAUGAUUUUUUUUAUUAUUAUUUUGAUGAGGAGGUCUCAAUAAAGUUCAAAUAAAUAAAUUUUGGUCUUUGUCUCACACUUACAUAAACAAACGAAAAAAUUAUAAAAUUAUAAAAAAAUUAAGAACCAUUGUCAAUUAUGUAAAUUCAAAUAUUUAAACAAUCAAAAUAAUUGCGGUUAGUUUUCCCCUGUAAUCAAUUAUUGGCAUCGGAUGGGAACCACGUAAUUCGUGUAAUUGAUAUAAAGCAAUCUUUGAUGAAUCGUGACCCACUUAACAAGGAUCAAUACAUUCAGAAAUGAAUUCCACUCACCAAUUGAGAUACUAGUAUUAAUAUUAUCGGGAUUUAUACUGCUCUAAAGACAAUGUUACAGAGAAGCUGCUAUAACUCUCAUGACUCUGAAUCUAAGUGUUCAAUACGAGUGUAAAGACCUAAUUGCUCUGAUACAAGAAAUCAGUCCAGUCUUGUAUUACUAAACUUAUUAGCAGAUUUUUGGCUCCCAGCUAGCACAUGGGUAGCACCUGUAACGCUGCAUCAAUUAACAAAACUGAUUUACCAGAAUUUCCAGCCCCUAUACUUUGCAUCAAUAAAUUAUGAAAUUGGACAAGAUUUGUGUGUGAUUUUAAAAUAAAUAUGAACUUGAAUUUGAUGCAUUUAAUUAAUCCAAAGAGGCAAAUUUAUAAUUUCAACUUCUAAAUAAAACAUAUCAUUUGAAUUUUAUCAGUGGUUUCUAAUAAUAACUGACAGGUCAUUAUAAUAAUUAUAAAUGUAAUAUUUAUUUUUAUAAUUAUACAGUUAUGAUCAAUGCUAUGCUGUAGUGCCGUUCCAAAGGCAACUGCUCCCACUAUUCUCUUAGCGGCUCUGCCACUAAUCGCAUUCUGGCCACAUUUUAUCUUGCUAUUAUGCACCAUAUUUAUUUUUGCAAUCUGCGAGACUGCGACUAGGAUAUGCAAUUGCUCAAGCUCCGGUUUAGUCUUAAUUUGUGGACCCAUUCUACCUCACACGUGAUUGGCAUUACUACUUUGUUUGUCUUCUUAUGUACUAUUAUUUAUUAUGUGGACCCAUUCGUGCACCCACGUUUCGAAUACACAAUUUAACCGCAGCCGCUAAUCUUACUUAAUUUAUGUACGAUAAAAGCUCCGCCGUCGAUCCGUUAUACUUAAGUACCAACCAUGAUUAUUAUUUGAUUAGCUACGUCACAAAGUCGUAUUGAUUACGAAACACCAACACCUAGGGCCUAGGCAAUAUAGACAGGUCCUAAAUUAUGAACAGACAUUUACGCUGUGGACCCAUUCAUGCAUCCCCGUUUCGAUUUUGCAAUUUAACGUAGCCGUUAAUCUUACCUAACCAUCUGUACGAGAAAAACUCCGCCGUCGAUCCGUAUAUGUAAGCACCAAGCAUGCAUUAUUAUUUUACCGAUUAUAAAGCACCGACACCCAGGGCCUAGAAUUAUAAUACUAUUUUUUUUUUGGAUUAGGACGAAAUUAUUAUUGAAUAAUAAUUAAAACAAGAAAAUCUGAAUCUUUCUAUGAUUGUAUCAACUUAUUAUGCAUGCCUAUGUUAUUGCCCGGUUGCCUAUGGUAUUGACAUCUACUACGAAGUUAGAAAUUGGUCUUAAUUAAUUAGAUGCAUUUCUCAUUUGAAUUAUUUGGAGACGUGUAUAAUACAGGUCAAGUUUUCUAAUAAGAGGUUAGUGACUUUAUUUCUUUUAUUGGCUCAUAUUGAUUUAUUUGGUUAUCAUUCCUAGCUAAUUCGGUUAUUUAUCAAUAAUUUUAUUGGACAAAUUCUUUUAUUGGUUAAAAUAAGUUUUUCUUAUUAUUGUUUUUGACGAGAAGGUCUCAAUAAAGUUGGAGUAAACAAAUUUUCAUCUAUGUCUCGCACUUACAUAAAAUAAAGGAAAAAAUUAUAAUUAUAAAUAAAUUAAGAACCAAUGUCAAUAAUGUAAAAUCAAAUAUUUAAACAAUCAAAAUUUUAUCACUUUUGAAUUUAAGACUUUUUUCUUUCAUAUGUUAGAAAAUAAAAUUUUGAUGGAAAUUUUUUUUUAAAUGAAAUUGGGAAUUAGAAAUUUUCAUUUCCAAGACUAUCUUUCAUUGGCUAUGUCCAAGACGAAACAGAUUAAAAGCAAAUUUUGUAAUUUACAAAAUUACUGUAGCAAUGAGAUGCGAAAGAAAAGACUGCACGUGAUAAUUGCGGUUAGUUUUCCCCUGUAAUCAAUUAUUGCCACCGGAUGGGAGCCACGUAAUUCGUCUAAUUGAACUGUACCCGGUUAUUCGCAAUCCACACCGGGCAAACUUGAAUCAUCUAUAUAUAUUACAUCAAAUUGUCAAACUGGAAGCAAGAACUCGAAAAAACAACUUAACUACUUUCGAACUUUGAUUCCCGUAAGCAGAGAUCUUUCUGAUUUGAAGAACAUGGAAACCACCUGCGCAGGUUUAUAGGCCAACUUUAUUUUAAUAUAUAUCGUUUAUACUUCUUAUUUUAGUAUAUGCGGUUAUAAAUUAAAUUUUUUAUAUGAAAUUUUCAGGUAAUAACUGGUCAGAGGGUCUUCUGCUUCCUCCGUUUGGCAGUAUUGCUGAUGAUGAUGUCAUGAACGACAAUCUUGAUUUUCUUAAUGUCCCCCAAUAUGGAAGAAACCCCGACUACAUGGGUUAAGUGCAGCACUGCUUUUUUUUUUUUUCUGUUUUGUUUAAUUAAAUAAAUGAUAGGUAUACUAUUACCUAUCAAUCAUGACAAUGUUUUAGUAUGGUUUAGUUCAACUUAUAAGAUUUCUUGAGACGUACAAGCAAUCUUUUUGUUUACUUUUGAGCUAAGUAUUUUCCUGAAAAAGGAAAUAAAUCAAUAAAAGUUAUUGUGUGUGUCAACAUAUUGGUUCUAUUAGUUUAUACACGUCGGUUUUAAUUACGAUCUCUCUUCCUAAAUGUUGUACUUUUUUUUGAAAUAAACUCAAAACUUUGUUGUAUAAAAAACUCUUAUCACUUUCAAUCAUAUGAUGGUUACAAUUUAAUCAUUUAUUCAUAACAUCCUCCUGGUCCUCCAUUGAGGAUAUUAAAGUGUGCCAUUCUGUAACCCAGAACUAUCAUUUCUUCCACCUCUACGAUAUCUUGUAAUGUUACUUGCAGCUUCAUAAGCCACAGAAACAUCAUCAAAAUCAACAAAUUGUUUUUUUUUUUUUUAGGAAAGUAAUAAGAAAAAUAAAAGCUGCAUUAUUUUAUUGGCCACAUUGGACUCCUAGGCCGGGUAAUCUUGUCAUCUCUACUCGUAGAGUCUUCUCCCAUGGUACUUGCAUGGUUCCAUCUUUUAACUCUAGUAGUAUUUUGUUUGGAAAAUACCCCAAUAUAAUAUCUUCAUUCAAGAAAAUUGAGGACUGAAUUUGUGGUGCUUUUAUCAUAUUAAAUUACAUUUAAUUAUCAAUAUUUAUUGACUGAAAUCAGAAGGGUGUUUGAAUCAGAUAUGAAUUCUCUCUUAAUCAAUUUUUUUUUCUAAAUUUUGUAAGAUAUUAUGGCAGAUUUCAUUUAAAUUGUUUUAUAGUUAGGAUUUAAUUUAUUUUGGGCUUUCCUUAUUGUUUGAAUCCGAUGAAUUUCAUAUCAUCUUGCUGGUGCUUCUUCUGAUCUUCUUCUCCCUCCCUCUCUCUCACUUUUUUUCUUCUCUCUCACAGACCUAAAACUUUGACGAGCAAAUUUGAAAACGAAAUAUCAGGACGGAAAAGCCUCAACAUAUUAAAAAAUUCGGAUAAUUUAACUCUCGUAGCAUUGAUGAAUUUUGGUGUUCUGAUGCGAUUCAAGUUUCUCAUAGAGCCAAAAAAUGGCAAUUCAAGCCAAUUUUUUUAUCCAUCAAUUGAAAUACAUGUUACAUAUGCAGCAGCCCGUAAUCGAAAAUAACUUAAUUUGUUUUAAAAAUUCUUUAUGUUAGACUAGAAAUGAAUCCAUUCUUGUUAUUGCGUAUCUGCAAUUUAACUUAUGCUGCUAGUUUACAAUUUAUUUUAUUCACAUAAAUGAUCGUUCCUUUUUCUUAUUCUCAAUUAAAUUUUGGUUCCUAGAAUGAUAGUUAAAAAAAUUAACAAUAAUAAUCGAUGUCGCAGAUCAAUUAUCAAAGUUUGUUUGUGUGAACAAGAAAUAUGAGAAAAAGUUUGUUAGUUAAUUGUCUCUUAGUUUUAGAAUUUUGAUUAACCAAUAAAACAACGUAUUUUAUUGUUUAAUAAAACAAGUUCAAAGUAAAUUCAAUCCUAGUCAUAUUUUGAUAUUUUUAUUACAUCGCAAUUAAAUUUAAGACAAACCACAUUUCGGCAAUUAAAUUUAAGACAAGCCACAUUCUCCACAUGAAAUAUUUUGUCGCGUCGUGAUUAAAUGAUUGAGUCUCACGUAGAAGUCUGUCACUAACCAUAUAUUUUUAUAAAUUUAUCAACACAAAAAGAAAAAAAAAAUGAAGUAUUUGAAAUUUAUCUGGGGCUAAGCAGUAACAUUGGAUGUUGCCUCGGAUGUCCUAUAUCAAGGGCCCGAUUAAUAAAAUUUUGGGCCCUAGGCAAAAUUUCUAAAUUAGCCCUUUUUAUUUAAAUGAAAGUUAAUGUGAGAUUAAUUUAAAUUUUUACGAUUAAUAUGAAUAAUUUAUUUUUUUAGAUAUAAUUCCUUUACAUAGUUUGUAUCUGUAUUAUUUCAAAGAUUUUUUUGGGUUAUGUUUAAGCAGGCUUAUUUUUGAGAGAUUAUGAAGAAUAAGAGAUUGUGUUUCAAUUGGAAAUAACAAAAAUUUCGUUGCAUAAUUUUUUUUAAGCAUUAAAGAAAUAAGUUAUUGACGGAAAUUUCACUUUCAACAUAGAGAAUAUCCAACAUUUUAAACAAGAAAAUAAAUAAAUUCUGAUUUUUUAACUGAACUAUAUAUUGAGGUGGGGCCAAAAUUUUUGGAGAGCAAAUAUAAUAACUCAAUUUCUAAAUAAUGAAUAAUGACUCAAUUUCUAAAUAAUGAAGUAAAACAUAAAUUAGGGUUUUAGUAGGAAAGUAUAUUAGAUGGGACCUUGAUUUUAGGGGAAGGCAUAGGCAGUUGCCUAAAGAGUAGAGCUUCUAACACCCCUUUUAAACUUGUAACAAACCCCAAUUUUUUGUUUUUUUAAGUCUCUUUCUUUUAUGAAAAAUACAGAAAAGGACAUAAAGUUAUAAUGAAAUUUUAAUUGAACUUCACUACUGUAUAGAAUACAUUUUGUAAACAAAUUUUUCAUAAUAAAUUUUUUAAUAAAUAAUUUAUUUCUUUGUUAUUUUGUUUUUAUCAGCAAAUUAAUUAUAAUAUCAUAGGAUUAGCAAAUAGUCAAGAUUCAAGAUUUGUUAAGCUAUUUUAAUGUAAUCAAAUUCAUAUUUUUCCUUUUAGUAAUUCUUAGUAAUAAUAGAACUAUUAUUUUAAAAGUAGGGUGAUGCAAGAAUAUUAAAACGGUGUGAAAAGCAUUACUCUUGCCUAAAUUAUUCCAAGGUUGAACCGGCGUGUCUAAUUACCACCCUCUAGAGAAAGGGGAAAUUUUUUUUUCCGAAGACAACCAUGUUUUGGGUAUUUCUACCGACACUCUACAAAAUAAAUGCUGGAAGAAAAUUAAUACUCUAUUAAUUGUUAGGGACAAAUCACACUUCCGUUGAGAAUAGACCUUCAGUUAAGUAUACCGGUUUCGACAUCCCUCGACUCUUGAGCUUUUCUUUGAAUAUAAGUUGGGUUCGUGGGUUUUUAUAUAAUAUCAGAGUUAGAAUCGUACAUAAGUGAGUCCACACUACCUUACCACAUCGAUUGAGAAUAAAUAUUGAGUUCAAUAUUAAACCUUCAACCACAAGGAUAAAACUAAUUAAGGCCCUUGAGGGGCUUCAAUACAUCCUCAACUAUUAAAUUCAUGGAAAUUCAUAUUAAUUUAAUGGAGUUGAACUUUUGGCACCCUUUGAAUAUGUCUUAAAACACAUUUUCUUUACUUAUCCCAUUAAAAUUGUAUAAAGAUUGCACACUUUCUCAUGAAAUCCCUAUGAUUCUAAAAAUAACCCUGAUUUCUUGUUAAAUAAACACCAAUGCAGAUGCGGCAAUAAAAUAGUUAAUUUAAAAAAAAAUCCCUAUCUGAGAGACAGAAAGCUAGAGGAUUUCAAUAUGGAAUAUUUAUGAUCAAUAGAAGAAUUCAAGUGACUGGAGAAAAUUCAGAUUGUUCAAAAUGGGUUCUCAAACGAGAUAAGCCUCAGGUAGUAGACCUCACCAACAUCAGUACCAGACUCAAUCCAUAGAAUCGGUCUCGUCUUAAGCCUAACAGCUCCCUUUUAAUAUAAUCUAGUGAGAACGGUGAGGUGCUUGGUAUAUCAUACACCAAAAAUCAACGAUGCUUGGACUUUCAAGAAAAAGAGAAAAACAAAUGCAUGCACGGGGAAACGUACUAAUUAAAAGCAAAUCAUAUAAUUUACAAAUUAUUAUAGGCUUGUAGCCAUAAGAUCGAGAGAAACUAAAACAUUUCUUGCAUUUUCUGGCCAUAUUUUCUAAAUGAAGGGAUGGUCCAUUGCUGCUCUGCCAUACUGGAUCUCAAGAUGUCAUUAACAAUAGGUCUCAAGAUGUCGCUAACAAGGUGUCACUCUGAUACCGACAGGUCUACCACUUAGACAUAACACUUGCCAUAUAAAAUUUUCUCCUAUUUUUGCUAUUUCCUUCGUAUCUUGCAUUGAAUUAUUGCCAGCAAAUGAUAUUUCGAGUCAAAAAAGUAUAUUCAAUUAUUGCAUAUAUGCUCCUAGGUAAUUUGCACAAUUGAAUUAUAGCUGUUAAUCUACUUAUUUACACAAUUGAUUAAUUGUGCGCAUCCAUUGCAAGACUUUCGCACUAAGUUUCAAUUUCAACCACAAAUCCUAGCUCUAGAUAAAAAUGAUGUGGUCGUAGAGAUUUCGAAUGUAUUCACUUUGUGAUUAACGGAAGCAUUGCUUUCAUUUGUAAGACGUUGUCAUCAGAGAUUAAUUAAUUAAUCAUCAUUUUGCUAAAGGAAAAAGAAUGAAAAAAGCUGCACUAUUUUAAAGGCCAUUUGGUAUAUGACCACUUCGCAUUGGACUUGGAGACCGGGUAAUUUUGUCAUCUCUACUCCAAGAAUCUGCUCUCAUGCUACUUGCAUGGUUCCAUCUUUGAAGUCUGGUACUGUUUUUUUUGGAAAAUACCCCACUAUAAUAUCUUCACGAAGAAAAUUGAUCCCCGUUAACUAGCGUGAUUAGCUUAGUUUCUUAAAUUCAACGUUCGUUUGGUUAAUUAUAUGUUAGUUUUAGAAUUUUGAUUAGCCAAUAAAACAAUGAGUUUUAUUGUUUAAUAAGGCAAUUUGAAAUAAAUUCAGUCCUACUCACAGAAAAAUUUAAAUGACACAUAUCAUAAUCUUUUUCAUAUCUUCAGAAAAAUUAAAUCAUAAGAGGAUCAUGAACAAUUUGAUGAUGCUCUGAAAUAUAGUCUUCUGUUUUUCAAGGAAAAAAUAAGGAAGUUAAAAACAUGUUUAUCAGGUUUUUCAGAGAUCAUUUUGACGUUUUUGUUUAAAAACAUGAAAAUUGUUCUUAUUCUCGUAAAACAGAAAAAAUUAUCUGGCCGGUUAGCUAAUUAUUCUUGUUCUUCUGUUCUUUUUUAUUUGAAUUGUUUCUCCCUUUUCCAUUCAUUUUUCACUAUGAAAUUAAUUACUAAUUAAUCUACAGUUAGUUUCUCUACAGCUAAUAGGAACGUGAUUUAUGCCCGAAGACUCGCAUCUUUUUUAUUCAUUAUCUACAGUGCCUCACCUCCAAUCUAUGUAUAGGCGGACAUGCAUAUUUAUUAUAUCAAAUAAGUUAUUGAUGGAAAUUUCACUUUCGAAAUAGAGAAUUAUCCUUAAUUAAAUCUUUGUGGGCCUAAAUUCGAGUAAGAUUUAAUGAUGUAUGAUUCAAAAUUAUUGAAAUCGGACAUUUUAAACAAGAAAAAAAUAAAAAAAUCUUGUUCUCUUUUUUAAAUAAUAAAUUUCAUUUUGAUGGAUUUUUAAUAUUAAAUUAGACAUUUGCUAAAUUGGCUCAAAUAUAAUAGAUCUUAGACCUUGCUUUUAAUGGAUUUAAUUAGGUUUUGGGCAUUUAAAUUAUACAACUGGAGACAGAAUUUAUAAACAGAUAAGAUUCUAAUGUGAUUUUAAAAUAAUUUUGAACUUGAACUUGAACUUGAUGCAUUUAAUUAAUCCAGAAAGGUAAAUUUAUAAUUUCAACUUUUAAAUAAAACAUAUCCUUUGGAUUUUUUACAUAAACUAGAGGCAAUUGUACAAUAUUUACUUGACUAGUGGUAUAUAUCCCAAAUUUUUUAUCCUAAGAAAUGCAACAUCAUUUGGUUGAUGAGGAUAAUAUAAUUAAUUCACUUAGAUAUUAUAAAAAAUUAUCAACCAAUCAAUGAAUAACAUAUCAUUUUCAUUGGGAUGGAAUUUGAAAAAAAAAUUUAGGACGUCUAUCAUUACUUUAGUAAGAAAGCAUAUUAAGAUGGACUGACAUGUUUGGAUGCCCCAGUCUAAGAUGCAAGAGAUCAAUUUCUUUUGUUGUCUUGAAAUCCCUACUAUUUGACUCAACAACAUUGGCAACAUUUAACUCAUUACUACUAGAACAAAAAAGAUAUCAUAGACAAAGGAUUGCUAAUGCAAUUUAUUGACUCAUACUCUAAAGAUAGAGGUAACUCAACAGCACAUUCAAUCUUGCGCUACUCAUGCACAUUAGCUCAUAUAGCCUAUCUUUAGUCACUCCUUUCAUUAGGAUUUUCACUUGGCUAAAGCAAGUAGAUUUUUGAAGCACAACAUCAAUAUCAUUAUCACGGAACAAUUUUGAGACAUUAAUAAGGUUCUUAGUAAUGCUAGGCACAUACAACGAGCUGUUUAGUUUAAUCUGUUUCUGUGGAUCAUAAGUGAGCAAUAUAGAGUAUCCAAUAUGAGAAAUCAAAAGUUUAUCACCAUUUCCAACAGUAGCUCAUCAUUACCCUGAUAUUCUGAAUUAAAGCUCAUGCUUCCAAUAGCACUGGUUGCAUGAUUUGUAGCACCAUUGUCAAGGUACCAAGCUCUACUAUUCUCACCGUCAACUGCAACCACAUAUGCUCUUCUUGGAUCUCUUCUUCUAUUUGGCUGUGGAACUAAUAUGAACCCUAUUAAGAACUAACAUGACCCUAACCAAUUUAGUCUCUAAGAUUGAAACCAAUUUUUUAUUUUUUUUAGAAGAGAUUGAAACCAAAUCUAAAAUUGAAUGGAACCGCGAUUUGAUCUCAAUGAAAGUACGAACCUUGGUAUGUGAUGACGCCACAAUCAGCUAUGGAUGAUCUUAUUGAUAAGUCAAGAGUUUGAACGCCACAGAAAUCCGAUAAAUUCAAAGGGUUAGUUUAAGAACCAAAGAGAAUUAGCUUUCUCAGCAAUUGCAUCAAAAUUGAUGCCUUUCUUAUUGGAUACGAGUACAUUAGAUAGGGUUGGUUUAUAAGAAUUUUAAGAAAUAAAUCCUAAACCAAAAUCAAAUCAGAAUCCUAAUUUAAAGCAAAUAAGGAAAGAAACUAAAUCAAACCAGAAUCCUUAUUGGCUUAAAUGCCUUGCAUCAAUUAAAAAUGGAAACAAGGCAAUUAAAAGAGAAAUAAUUGAUUCGUUUUGCCACUUGCCUACUCAAGAAAUGGGAAAGUAUCCUAAAAGGAAAGUAGUAUAUUUUCCAAACGAGAAAACAUCUGAUAAGGUAAAUAAUGUAUUUUCUAGCCAUAAUGUGCAAACCAACUUGCUGAUUUUAUGGAAAUGAUUAUGUGGAAACUUAAAAAGCCUGAAUCACGUAUUUAGUGGUCUGAAUAUCAUGUGCGCUUUCUUCAACGGGCCUCCACGAAUUUGAUUGAGCUCAAGUUGCUUAAAUCAACCCAUUAAGCGAUUUUUUGAAUUUUUUUGCACGAGCUCUUGUGAUGGGUCCAAUAGGAACUUGAAUGGGAUAUGAAUAUACCUCAUCCCAUGUGCUUGUGACAGUUUUGUCCUCAAUAUCAUAUUUUUUCCUUCAAAGAAACAAUUUUGCUUCAUAUGGAAAAGGAAAUUCUUAUGUAGCCUUAUAUGAUUUAUACAUAAACUCAUAAUAUUUGUGUAGUCCUUCAUGAACAUGUGAAAUAUACACUUAUAUAGUGAAUCCUUCAUGAACAAGAUGUUAGUGAAUAACAUCAUAAUUUUGGAAUAGUCUUUCAGGAACAUAUUUUGAAAGAAAAUCUUCAUUAUGUAUAGUGCGAUCCUUAGAGAUGCAUUCUUAAUUUUCUUUCAUUAUAUAUUAUAAUAUUCAUACUUUAGGAUGAAUAUUUUGAAUUUCAAGAAUAGAAAAUAUAUAAUAGCAAUUGAAUAUUAUAAUAUAAAAAAUCAAACAAUAACAAAAUCAAUCAAUGGAACAUUAAAUAAAUGUUGGAAUCCAAAUCUCAUAAAAUAUAUGUAAUCAUUAAUAAAGGAAGUAUUAGAACAAGAAUCAAUCGGUCCUUGAUCUUAGCCACUAACUUAGCAUAUUGUAAUAUUCAUUCUCCUUUAUAUUCUUUCCUUUUCUAUUAUUUGACCGUUUGGUACUUGCCUUAGAUGAUUCUAGUAUUUUUGUAUAUAAGGAUCUUGUACACAGCAACAAAUAUAUAUGAGCAUUUCCACAAUUCUUUACAUGGUACCAAAGAAAAUUUUGCUCAUUUAUGCUUUUCUCUUUGAAAAUCAUGUCUAGUAGUUUGAAUCCAAUAUCAGAAACAUCAAAUUCCCUCAUUACCGAUGCUUCUUCACCAUACUUUCUUCAUUCAUCUGAUCAUCCUGGAGCCAUUCUUGUAUCUAAUGUGCUAACGGGUGAUAAUUAUUCAACAUGGAAAAUAUCCAUGAAGAUGGCAUUAAAUGCCAAAAACAAAUUGGGUUUUAUUGAUGGAAGCAUACAAAAACCUUCAUCAACCUCACAAGAUUUAAAAACUUGGGAGCGAUGCAAUGACAUGGUCCUUUCAUGGAUGCUCAAUGGAAUAGAGAAAAAUCUUGCUAACAGCCUCAUUUAUUGUGAUACUCCACGCUCUCUUUGGCUUGGGUUGGAAGAACGUUUUUCACAAAGUAAUAAUCCACGGAUUUAUGAACUUAAGAGAGCCAUAUGCAAUCACCAGCAAGAGCAAAAAUCAUUAGUGAUUUAUUUUAAUACUUUGAAAUUUUAUUAGGAUGAAUUGUCCACAUUAACCACUAUUUCUUCUUGCAAGUGUGAAACUUCAUAUGAAUUGCAGGGAUUACUAGAGACUGAAAAGGUGUUUCAAUUCCUAAGGGGUCUCAAUGAUUCAUAUUCUUCGGUACGAAGUCAAAUCUUAGCCAUGGAACCACUUCCAAAUGUUGGAAAAACAUAUUCAAUUAUUCAUCAGGAAGAACGUCAACGACUUCUCCAUGUUUCCAGUCAACCAUCCAUUGAAUCAACAGCCUUGACAGCCAAUAAUAAGACUCAAAUGACCGGCUGUCAAAAUCAUUCACAUCCUAGCCAUUUGCAUGGAGUACAAGAGACACAAGGACGGGGUAGAUCUUUCUGCGAUCAUUGCCAGAAAUAUGGGCAUAUAAAAGCCAAAUGUUACAAAAUUGUUGGCUACCCACCAAACUGGAAACAUUCAAAUCGAUCGCAUGUUGCUGCUCCUACAACCACAAAGCCACAACAACUAGAUGAUCAUCCCAUUCCAACAGACAAGAAUGCAUCAUCUCAGCCUACUAUCCAAAUUCCUGGUCUCACGGCUGAACAAUAUCAACAAUUAUUAUCUAUACUUUCAACAAGUGAGCAACCAUCUACUGCAAACUUAGCUGGUAAAAUCAUUCCUUUUUGCAAUUCUGCUAUUAACUCAUAUAAUAAUUCUUGGAUAAUUGAUAGUGGGGCAUCUGAUCACAUGACCCCUAAUAUUUCUUCCUUUAAAAAUUUUGUGCCCAUGUCUCAUGUCAAACCCGUGAGACUACCAAAUGGCACAACUGUUCCUACAAUAAAAUGUGGAUCCAUUAAAUUAUCCUCCUCUUUGACUUUAGAUAAUGCCUUAUUGGUUCCUCAUUUUAAUUUUAAUCUAUUAUCUGUAAGCAAGCUAACCAAGGAUUUGAACUGUGCUGCUAUAUUUUUUUCCUUCAUUUUGUGUUUUUCAGGACCUUUCAACGAAGAAGCUGAUUGGAAAGGGUGAAGUUUGGGAUGGACUAUAUUAUUAUGAGCUUAUCAAUGGUCAUUCUUCCCUUCCUUCAGUAAUGAACGUUGCAAAGGAACCCAAUUCUAAUCUUUGGCAUUUGCGACUCGGUCACCCUUCUAAAGACCGAAUGCAGCGUUUGUCUUUUAUUUAUGAUAUUGCAUCAUUUAAUUCUUGUUGUGAAAUUUGUCAACUUUCAAAAAACACUAGAAGUUCAUUUCAAUUGAAUAAAAAUCGUUCUGAUAUGCCAUUUCAAUUAAUUUUUUGUGAUAUUUGGGGACCUCAUCGCACAUCUACAUAUACGGGAGCAUAUUAUUUUCUUACUAUUGUUGAUGACCAUACUCGUUGUACUUGGGUUUACCUCAUACGGCACAAGUUUGAAGCUUUUCAAUUAUUAAAAAACUUUUACUUCUUGAUCAAGACACAAUUUCACACACAAAUUAAAAAAAAAAUUUGCAUUAAUCAAGGAAGUGAAUUUUUAUCAAAUCAGAUGCAAUUUUUUUCAUGAGCAUGGCAUCUUGCAUGAACGCACUUGUGUUGAAACACCUCAACAAAAUGGGGUAGCAGAACGCAAGCAUCGACAUAUUUUAGAAGUUGCACGUGCAUUAUGUUUUCAAGCACAUUUACCUUUGUCUUUCUGGGGAGAUUGUGUUUUAGUUGCAACCCAUUUGAUUAAUCGUAUACCCACGCCUAAUCUUGGUGGUCAAUCACCUUAUGAAAUGUUUUUUAAGACUAAACCUCACUAUGAUCGUCUUCGUGUCUUUGGCUGUCUUUGUUAUGCUCAUACCAACAGUGCUAAUCGUCAUAAAUUUGCUCCCCGUGCUACCAAGUGUAUAUUUGUUGGUUACCCAUUUGGGUAUCUCGGAUACAAAGUUUAUGAUAUCAUUAAUAAAAAUACUUUUAUUUCUCGUGAUGUUACUUUUGUGGAAACUGAAUUCCCAUUCAAAACUAUCACCAAUCAACAAGAAAAUAGCAAUCUUUUACCUCUUCCUAUCAUACUUCCUGCCAAUGAAAAUGCACAGCUCCUUCCAACUUCUUCCAAUGAGAAGCCACUCCACCAAGGUACAUCUGAUUCAAUAGUUCUCCCUUCUCCACCUCUUCGACGGUCCCAACGACAGUCUUGUCGUCCAAAUUAUCUUCAGAAUUAUAUUUGCUCUACUGCACUUCACGGUACAUUUGGCAACUCUAUUAGUUUUACUAAUCAUCCACCAUUGGUAAGUUCUUUAUAUCCAUUAUCCAAGUAUUUAUCAUAUGACAAGUUUUCUAGUGAUCAUGUAGCCUUUCUUUCAGCCAUAUCUCACGAUGUUGAACCAACUACAUAUUCUCAAGCCGUUCAACAUGCUUAUUGGCGCAAUGCUAUGGAUAUAGAGAUUAAAGCUUUGGAGCAAAGUAACACUUGGACAAUACAAGAUCUACCCCCCGGCAAGAAACCAAUUGGUUGUAAAUGAGUGUUUAAAAUUAAAAGAAAAGCUGAUGGUUCUAUUGAUAGAUACAAAGCAUGCCUUGUUGCUAAAGGAUACACACAAACUGAAGGUUUGGAUUACCAUGAGACAUUUGCACCUGUUGCAAAACUUGUGACUGUUAGAUGUGUAUUGGCAAUGGCAGUUAUUCGAGGGUGGUUAUUAUUUCAGUUAGAUGUUCAUAAUGCAUUUCUUCAUGGCGACUUGCAUGAGGAAAUUUAUAUGACCUUACCUCCAGGAGUUCGUAAACAGGGGGAGUCUUCUCAAUUUUUUCGGUUAAACAAGUCCCUUUAUGGUCUCAAGCAAGCUUUUCGAAAAUUGGUUUGAAAAAUUCUCAUCCGCUCUUAAACAAAUUGGUUACAUUCAUUCUUAUGCUGAUUCUUGUUUAUUUACUAAUAUGCACGAUUCUCAUUUUACAUUGGUGCUUGUGUAUGUUGAUGAUAUAAUAAUUGCUAGUAACCAUCUUGACACUAUAACUGCAUUGAAGAUAUUUUUACAGGCUCAAUUUUAUAUUAAAGACUUGGGAACUUUGAAAUAUUUUUUAGGAAUUGAAGUGGCUCGUUCAAAGCAAGGGAUUUUCUUAAAUCAAAGGAAAUAUGCUUUAGAUAUACUUCAAGACAGUGGACAAUUAGGCACACGGCCAUCUUCUUUUCCAAUGGAACAAAACUGAAGCUCUCUAACAAUCAAGGAACCCUUUGUCAAAAUCCUGACCACUACUGACGACUCAUAGGAUGUCUCAUCUAUUUGACAAUCACCCGGCCAGAAAUUACAUAUGCUGUGAACAUACUUAGUCAAUUUAUGCACACUCCAAGACGACCACAUUAUGAUGUUGCCCUGCGUGUCUUACGUUACAUCAGAUCUUCUCCCGGUACUGGUAUCCUCUUGUCCUCCACUAGCUCUUUGGAACUCUCUGCCUUCUCAUAUUCAGAUUGGGUAAGUUGCCCCAUGACCCGUCGAUCCACCACUGGAUAUUUUAUCAUGCUCGGCAACAAUCCUAUUUCUUGGAAAACCAAGAAGCAACCAUUUGUAUCACGCUCUUCCGCUGAAGCCGAAUAUCGAGCAAUGGCGACAACAACAUGUGAAUUGGUUUGGUUGAAAACUCUACUUCAUGAUCUUCAUAUGACCCAUCCAAUGCCUAUAACUUUACAUUGUGACAAUCAAGCUGUGCUUCAUAUCGCUGCCAAUCCCAUCUUCCAUGAGCGUACCAAGCACAUAGAAAUAGACUGCCAUCUUGUUCGUGAAAAGCUUCAUGCCAAAAUCAUUUCCUUAACUUAUGUGCCUUCACGACAACAAUUGGCUGACAUUUUUACCAAAGUUCUUGGUAAAGAUCAAUUUCAAUAUCUUAUUGGCAAGUUGGGAGUUAUGGAUCUUCACUUUCCAACUUGAGGGGGAGUAUUAGAACAAGAAUCAAUCGGUCCUUGAUCUUAGCCACUAACUUAGCAUAUUGUAAUAUUCAUUCUCCUUUAUAUUCUUUCCUUUUCUAUUAUUUGACCGUUUGGUACUUGCCUUAGAUGAUUAUAGUAUUUUGGUAUAUAAGGAUCUUGUACACAGCAACAAAUAUAUAUGACCAUUUCCACAAUUCUUUACAGGAAGUAAGGAACAACUUAAUAGAUCCAUUAUUCUUAAAUUAUAAAAAUACAUAAACAACAUAUGUAUAUGAUUUUAGACAAAUCAAGAUAGUUUAAUUCAUACCUUUGUGAGUGAGAUCAAAGGAGGGAUAUUAUCAUAUUACCUCUUAAUGGCUAGAGACUCGUGUUGAUAAUGUGUUAUAUCAUUUAUCAAUUGGGAGUGCAACAAUAUAGCAAGAGAAAUAAAGAAGGCAAAUAAGAGACACAAUGUUUAGAGGGGAAUUUUAUUCAAUCUCAAAUAUAUACAAAUAGGAAGCAAAGGCCUGCUUUUAUAGUGAUACAAGCAUAAAGUAGUAAGCAAUACCUCGUAAUUAUAAGAGAUGACAAUCCUCAGAUUAGGGAGAUAAUGAGAGUUAUAAAAGAUGGAAAGUUACUUGUGAGGAGAUCGAAGAUUGCUUUGAUGAACAUCCACAUAUAUCAUAAUAAUUUCAUAACAUACAUUUACUUUUAAUUUAUUUUUAAGGUUAAUUGGUUAAUAAGCUUCUUGUGUAGUAGAUUGAUUAAUGUGCCCAAGAAUAUUGUUGGAUGCUAUUAUUUUAAAAGCAAAGCAAAAUAAGGCAUAAGUGUCACAUGUUCAAUAGCAGGGAUGUUUUGAGGAAUUUCUUAAAAUAAAAAGACUAAGUAGAUCUUUAGCCCAAAAUAUAGGGAUUAAGCAAGCAUUCAUCCUAUAGAAAAGCAAAGUAAACUAAUGUAACCAUGAUUGAAUAUAAAGUUAACUCUUCUAUGGCAUUAUAGAGAACAAAAGAAGGAAAAAUAUUAUUCAAAUUCAAGAUAAGAAGGUAGUUUAUUAACUGUCUAAAGUUCAAAAUUUUAUUAAUUUCAGACCUUUUUUAAAAUUUACUUAUUUGUUUUUUUGUAACUUAUGUUUGAUUUUUAGAUAUUUAUAUCUGAAUAGAAAAAGUAAGAUUUUUUGACUUUUAUCUAAAUGGAAAAAGAUCUGAAUGAUUAGUAAAUAUUACAUUCCAUAAAUAUCUCUAUAAAAUAACUUAUUUCCUAAUCUAUAAAAUAGAAUCCCCUUUUUUUAUUUUGAUUUACAAGGACGUAAAUGUCAAAGAACUAAGUUUAAGAUGUUUUUUAUUAUAAAAACAAAUAAGAUGCCACUUACAUUCAUAUAUUAAAAAAUGAAAAACAAACAUGUGAUUCAAAUUUUCGUAUUCAAACCCAUUCAAACUUGAAAAAAAUUUAGACACAUUCAAAUUUCAGACAAAAAAGACAAAUACUAGUUCAAUUUUUUUUUUCGCUUUGCAACUGCCCACUGCUAACCAAAUAAAAAAAGAUUUUCAAUUUGGAAUUAUGUUAUCCAACAUAUGAAGACAAUUCUUCCUUUGAACGAAUCUUUAUGAUUGUUUUCUGAACGAAUAUUGCUCUAAAUUAAAAUAUUUUAGAACAAAAAAUAGCUGAUUGCCAAAUGUACAAUAGGUACAAUUUUCUUUUUUCAGCUCUCUUUUGGAAGAGAACUAUGGCGUCCUUUAUAAUUAUUAUUUCUUGAAAGAAUACAAACUUAAAUUACUGGCUUUUUAUUUGUAAAAUCAUAUAAAAUGGACUCUUUUAAGGAAAAUAUCUCAUACCGGAGAUAAUAAUUUCUGGACUAAGAAUAUAAACUUAAAACAGCACUACUAUCAAAUUAUCUUUAAAAGAGUUCCUUGAUCAAAAGAAUUUAUUUAUCAUUUUUCACAGUUUAAAAAAAUAAAAAAAUUACAUAGAAAUAAUUGGAAGAUUUCCUAAAUAAGCAUCAAAUAAAUGCUAAUUUAUUGCAUGAUACUUGGAAGAAACCAUAAAUAAAAAUUAAGGAUUUAUAAUUUUAAAGACAAGUUGGGAGUUUAAAUUUUCUUGCCAUCUUGAGGGAGAAUAAUAAGACCGAAAUAAUAUUGAUGAAACAAAAUAAUCAAUCAAAUAUUUGAUUGUCUUCAUCUUAAUCAGUGAUCAAGAAAAAUUGGUUGUUAAUUAACAUAAAAAUUGAUUGACUCAAUAUUUACUAAUAGAUCAUUAUUCCCAAAUUAUGUUAAUUAUAUAUAUUUCAAAUACUUAUAAGAAUUGAGUUUGCUUACGGUUUAUUAAAUAUAGUCUCUUAAAAGUUUACAUGUGGCCCAUACAAAGCUAACAUUACUCUGUUAUAGCAUUUCGGGCAUCCAACAAGAUCCUCUUCUUCACUUAUUGUUAGAACUAGCGCUAACAAAUUAAUUACUUAAUCACGGCUAAGUUUGGAAUUAAAAUCAAACUAAAUUAUCUAAUUGGUUGAGUUCGGUUUCCGUUUGUAUGGGCUACAUGAAAUUUUUUCUCUCAUCUUCUCUCGUCUGCUAAUCGCAUCUUUCUCUCUUUCGACUCUCUAAUUUCUCUCUUGGAUUUGGUUACCAAGCACAUAAAAUUGAAGCCACCAUCUCGCUCAUAACAAACAACUAGUCGGAUCCAUCAAACUGUUGCUGUCAUCUUGAGCCAUUCAAGUAACUUGAACACAUCAUCUUCUCGUAAAUUCUCUUUCAUUUUCGAAUUAAAGACAAGGUAAGGAUGUAAUCUUGACUUUUGUGUUUUUUGUGAUGACUACAGAAAAUGCUAUAUGAAACAAUUAGGGAUUUAUGUGCUAUAUAAUAAUAAUAAUAAUAAUAACGACAACAACAACAACAACAACAAGUAGUCAUUUAUGAAUUUUGAGUGAAAAAUUAGGGAUUUAUGUGCUUCUUCUUCUUCUUCUUCUUCUUAUUAUUAUUAUUAUUAUUAUUUUCCCUAUAUUAAACAAGUAGUCAUUUAUGAAUUUUGAGUGAAAAAUUCACUCGGCUGUGGCAGAUUUUGUGCCUUACAAGUAGUCGAUUUCACGCAUUCAUCAUCACCAUUACUAUGUUCAUUAUUAUUUGCUAUUUUUUUUUACUUUUUCUGCUGUUAUUGAUUAAAUUGACAUUAAAUUUAUGUCUUGUCCAUUACAAGACUUAACAAUAUAAUCCAGUUGUAACAUGGACACUACAGAUGAUACAAGUGCGCAAGACCUAGUCAGAGAGCGUAGUACACUUUUUGUAAGUAUAAACUAAUUGAUAUUUUUCGAGUUGUUAUGUUAGCAACCAUUUUAAAAACACUUUUGUUUUCGAAUUUUGGUUACGUUGAAGUGAAGGGGAUUGAGUUACCAUUAAAAAUUAAAGUAUUUUGGUCUUUAUAAACAAAGCGCUUUUGUGGAAUAGAUCUAAGAAGAUGCUAAUCUUCUUCAUAAAUUUUUUUUAAAAAAAAUUCUAUUACUCUUGGUGCAACAAAUUUCCUAGUCCCAAAACCUUGUCAUAGAAAAAAAAAGAAAAAAAAAAAGAAAACAGAAAAAGAGUGAAAAUCUCUUGGGUCAACCAAAUUACUCAAAUUCGUAAAAUAAUAUAAUACUUGAACCUUAAAAAUAAAAGCUCUAUAUAUUACUAUAUAAACAGUGAUAAACACAAUUACUAUCUAAGCCCACUCGAAAUUUUAUCAUACAGUCGUAUAUUUAUCACUUUAUGUACGUAUAUUGUAAUUUGGAUACGUUAUUUAAUUAUAUUUAUAUUGUGUAUAUUUACCACAUUAUGUACGUAUAUAAAAUAUAACGUAUAUUGUGUAAACUCUACUAUAAACAAUUAAUAUUUGGUCAUAUUUCUUUUGGCAAAUAACCCCCUGGGAUUUCUUCUUUAUCGCAACAUGAAAUUGAAGAUAUUUAAAAGGUUUUGAAACGUUAUUUUUAUUGAAAGGAGUUGCCAUUUUUAAUUUUGGUUGCAAAUAAUAAUUCCUUGGUGGUUACAAUAUUUUUAAAUAUCCCCAUUAAGGCUGUAGGGGCUACAAAUCUUCAUUCUAGAUCUGUAACAUAUGACUAUGAAUUAUAUAUAAAUGAGCUAUUUUUCUUUAUCUUUGGAUAUAUUAUAUACUCUAUUGUUUGCUCCGAAACUCUACGAUAAACAAUUAAUACUUUUCUUUGCAACUUCGACAUUCAAAGACUUGGUUUAUUCUUCAGGUAAAUCGUGCUUAGGAAGAAGAGCGGCAUGAAGAUAUUUGGGUUGUAUUUUGGAGCUGCGAAAUACGGACAAUAUCCGCCCGUGGGGAGGGCUCUUUGACAUUUGGGUUGUAUUUUGGACAUUUGUGAUUCUCCAUAGUACUGGCCGGAUUCUUCAACAAUAUCCUAAUACUUCUAAAGUCAAAGACAUGCUUCUCUUUCGUUGUAUAUAUUUGCAUCUCUAGGUGAAAUUUGUAAUUGGCUGAGGACAUUUUUAUUUUUAUAGAAUGGAAGAACAGGGACUUUACGUGGAGAAAAAAUUAAUUGUAGUGGGUAUUUUCCAUAGAUAUAGCUAUACAUGUAGCAUGGCGAGCUGAUGACGGGAGUUCAUUUGACGGAAUUAGCCCUUCAAUGGGUUGUCGUUAUAAACCAGAUGGCCAAUAUAAUCAUGCAGCCUAUUUCAGCAAUCUUGUUUAUUAUGAUAUUAAUUUUUAAAAUAUAGUUACAAUCUAGACACAUAAUUUGUGGACCCAUUUUAUCUACCACGUGAUUGGUAUUAUUACUUUAUUUGUCUUUUUAUGUACUAUUUUUGUUCUGUGGACCCAUUCAUGCACCCACGUUUCGAACAUGCAAUUUAACCGUAGCCGUUAAUCUUACCUAAUCAUAUGUGCGAUAAAAAUCUGCCGUCGAUCCGUUAUAUGUAAGUACCAACCAUGCGUUAUUGUUCGAUUUGCUACGUUACAAAAUCUUAUUGAUUAUAGACAUUGUAUAUUUUAAGAAUUUGUUCAGAAAAUAUUACGAUCUAUUAUCAUUAUGAAAUGCCCAUUUCACUGAACUAUCUUUGAUUAUAAAUUUUUUUUAGCAAUUCGAAGUGAAAUGAUAUUUUGAAGACUCAAUUAGACAUUUAGACAGGGCUGCAGUUCUGGCCUCAUUUUGUCCUGAAGCUCAGCCAUGAUCCUGCCAAAGUUUUGGAGCCAUUCUAGCCACAUUUUAUCUUACUAUUAUGCAUCACAUUUACUUUUGCGAUCUUGGAGACUGCGACUGGGUCAAACAUAUCCUCAAGCUCCGCUUUAACCUUACGAAAUUUGUGGACCCAUUUUACCUUCACGUGAUUGGUAUUACUACUUUUGUGGACAAGGCUACGUUGCAGUUGCAGACUCAGCUGAGUACCAACAGCUUUUCCUCUCUCCUGCAACGCGUGGAUGCUCCUUGUUUGUCUUCUUAUCUGCAAUUAUUUUCUCUGUGGACCCAUUCAUGCACCCACGUCUCGAAUAUGCAAUUUAACGGUAGCCGUUAAUCAUACCUAACUAUAUGUACGAUAAAAAUUCCGCCGUCGAUCUGCUAUAUGUAAGUACCAAUCAGGCAUUAGUUUUCUAAUAAGACUUUAUUUCUUUUAUUAGCUCAUAUUCAUCCAUGUGUUUAUCAUUCCUAGCUAAUUCGAUUAUUUAAAAUAACAAUGAUCCAUCAAUAAUUUUAUUCUUCGACCGGUUAAAAUGAUUUUUUUUUAUUAUUAUUUUGAUGGGGAGGUCUCAAUAAAGUUGAAAUAAAUAAAUUUUGGUCUUUGUCUCACACUUACAUAAACAAAGGAAAAAAAUUAUAAAAUUAUAAAAAAAUUAAGAACCAUUGUCAAUUAUGUAAAUUCAAAUAUUUAAACAAUCAAAAUUUCAUCACCUUGAGUUGAGAUUUUUUUUUCUUUCUUUUAUGUGUUAGAAAAUAAACUUUUGAUGGAAUAAUUUUUUUUAAAAAAAUUUUGGGAACUAGAAAAUCAUUUUUUUAAAAAUGACGUUGGGAAUUACAAAUUUUUAUUUCCAAGACUAUCUUUCAUUGGCCAUGUCCAAGACGAAAAAGACUAAAAGGAACUUUUGUAAUUUCCAAAAUUAUUGUAGCAAUGAGACGCGAAAGAAAAGACUGCACUUGAUAAUUGCGGUUAGUUUUCCCCUGUAAUCAAUUAUUGGCAUCGGAUGGGAACCACGUAAUUCGUGUAAUUGAUAUAAAGCAAUCUUUGAUGAAUCGUGACCCACUUAACAAGGAUCAAUACAUUCAGAAAUGAAUUCCACUCACCAAUUGAGAUACUAGUAUUAAUAUUAUAGGGAUUUAUACUGCUCUAAAGACAAUGUUACAGAGAAGCUGCUAUUACUCUCAUGACUCUGAAUCUAAGUGUUCAAUACGAGUCUAAAGACCUAAUUGCUCUGAUACAAGAAAUCAGUCCAGUCUUGUAUUACUAAACUUAUUAGCAGAUUUUUAGCUCCCAGCUAGCACAUGGGUAGCACCUGUAACGCUGCAUCAAUUAAUGAAAUUGAUACAAGAAAUUCUUUUAAUUUCUUGAAUACCGAAAAAGUAAAAUUACCAUUCAAAAUGGAGGAUAAAUAUUUAAAACUGUCUUAAACGCAUCUUAUUUGUUCAUACACACACAAGUUAUUAAACAACCAUGAAUGUUGAACUAAAGUGUCAAACUUAGUUUCUGGUUGUCAAAUUUUCUUCCUAUUGGACAUCUAAAUCGUUUUGCAGUCAGUAACAUAGUCAGAAAAUCAAAUUAGUGGGGUAGAAUGACUGACAUAAAAUAUAAAGAAAAAAAUUUACUGUGUUCUUUAUCUAUUUUUCUAAUAUUUUUAGCAUUCCUCCUUACAUAUGUCUAAUAGCAUGUUUAAUUUGAAGAAAUAAAAUAAGAAGAGAUGUGAGAUAAGGAGAAUGGGAACAAUAAAUAAGGAAAAAAGAGAUAUAAUUAUAUAUUAAAUUAAAUAAUGAAAUUGAGAAUGAUCCUAUUUUUUCCAUCAUUUUUUGAUCACUUACUCUAAGGAACGAGAACUUUAAGGAAAGACAGACAAAUCAUAAAGAUUGAAGAGCAGGAAUUUUUGUUCUCCUUUUUAAAUAAAAAAUUUCAUUUCAAUAGAUUUUUAUUAUUAAAUUAGUCUUUCCCUAAAUCAGAUCAAAUAUAUUAGAUCUUAAAUCUUGUUUUUAAUGAAAUUAAUUACGUUUUGGGCAUUUAAAUUAUGAAAUUGGACAAGAUUUGUGUGUGAUUUUAAAAUAAAUAUGAACUUGAAUUUGAUGCAUUUAAUUAAUCCAAAGAGGCAAAUUUAUAAUUUCAAUUUCUAAAUAAAACAUAUCAUUUGAAUUUUAUCAGUGGUUUCUAAUAAUAACUGCCAGGUCAUUAUAAUAAUUAUAAAUGUAAUAUUUGUUUUUAUAAUUAUACAGUUAUGAUCAAUGCUAUGCCGUAGUGCCGUUCCAACAUAGUCACGCCGUUGAUUUUUUAGACAGACCAAAGGCAACUGCUCCCACUAUUCUCUUAGCGGCUCUGCCACUAAUCGCAUUCUGGCCACAUUUUAUCUUUGCUAUUAUGCACCGUAUUUAUUGUUGCAAUCUGCGAGACUGCUACUAGGAUAUGCAAUUGCUCAAGCUCGCUUUAAUCUUACUUAAUUUGUGGACCCAUUCUGCCUUACACGUGAUUGGCAUCACUACUUUGUUUGUCGUUCUUCUAGCUGUAGUAUUAUUUAUUUUGUGGACCCACUCGUGCACCCACGUUUCGAAUACACAAUUUAACCGCAGCCGCUAAUCUUACCUAAUUUAUGUACGAUAAAAGCUCCGCCGUCGAUCCGUUAUACCUAAGUACCAACCAUGCAUUAUUAUUUGAUUAGCUACGUCACAAAGUCUUUGUUCGAAUAGUUAUCAAAGUUUGUUUGUGUGACUCAUGGAAUCUUUGUUGGCCAAUAAAAGGAUGCAUUUUGCUGUUUAAUAAGGCAAGCUCGAAAUAAAUCAAAUCUUAGUCAUACAAAAAUUCAAAUGAUAUGAGCCAUGAUCUCUUGCCAAGCUUCAGACAAGUUAAAUUAUAAGAGGAUCUUGAUAGGUUAAAUUAUGAACACACAUUUACGCUGUGUACCCAUUCAUGCAUCCCCGUUUCGAUUUUGCAAUUUAACGUAGCCGUUAAUCUUACCUAACCAUCUGUACGAGAAAAACUCCGCCAUUUGGCAGCCAAAGACUUGGUGCAGCCGGUUAACAAACAGUUGCACCAUAUUUUUUAAAAAAUAUAUAUUAAAAAUACAAUAUAAAAAUGAAAAAAUUAAAUAAAAUGUCAAAAAUAUUUUUUUAUAAUAUAAUUAAUAGCAAAAGAUAAAGAAAUUAAAUAAUAUAAUACAAACCCUAUAAUACAAUAUAAUAUAAUUAAAUAAAAUGACAAAAAAUAAAGAAAUUGAAAAUGAAAAAAAUAGUAUUUCAAGUUUAACGUCAGUUGUUGCAUGUCCGACGUCUCGAUUGCAUGUUUGACGUUAGAUGUUGCAUGUGUUGAAUAAAGCCAAAAUAAAGAAUAUUCUCGAAUAUUCUCGUCUGUUUCAUGUUUGACGUUGAAGUUGCGAACUUUACGUGAUAAAUUGCAUAUUUCGCGUGAAGUGUUACAAGUUUCAUGUUUAACGUCCGUUGCUGCAUGUCGGACGUCACGGUUGCAUGUUUGACGUAAUCUGUUGCAUGUCUUGAAUAAAGCCAAAAAAAGAAUAUUCCUAAAUAUUCUUGUCCGUUUCAUGUUUGACGUCGAAGUUGCGAACUUUACGUGAUAAAUUGCAUAUUUCGAGUGAAGUGCUGCAAGUUUUAUGUUUAACGUCAGUUCUUGCAUGUUCGACGGUUGGAUUUCAUGUUUGACGUACGAUAUUGCAUGUUUUGAAUAAAGCCAAAAUAAAGAAUAUUCCUGAAUAUUCUCGUCCGUUUCAUGUUUGACGUCGAAGCUGUAAAUUUUACGUGAUAAGUUGUAUAUUUCACGUGCAGUGUUGCAGGUUGCAUGUUUAACGUUCGUUGUUGCAUGUCCGACGUCCCGCUUGCAUGUUUAACGUUAGAUAUUGCAUGUUUUGGAUAAAGCCAAAAUAAAGAAUAUUCUCGAAUAUUCUGGUCCGUUUCAUGUUUGAUGCCGAAGUUGCAAACUUUACGUGAUAAUUUGUAUAUUUCACGUGCAGUGUUGCAGGUUGCAUGUUUUACGUCCGUUGUUGCAUGUCGGCCGUCCCGGUUUCAUGUUUGACGUUAGAUAUUGCAUGUUUUGGAUAAAGCCAAAAUAAAGAAUAUUCUCGAAUAUUCUCGUCCGUUUCAUGUUUGACGUCGAAGUUGCAAACUUUACGUGAUAAGUUGUAUAUUUCACGUGCAGCGUUGCAGGUUGCAUGUUUAAUGUCUGUUGUUGCAUGUCCGACGUCCCGUUUGCAUGUUUGACGUUAGAUAUUGCAUGUUUUGGAUAAAGCCAAAAUAAAGAAUAUUCUUGAAUAUUCUGGUUCGUUUCAUGUUUGACGCCAAAGUUGUAAACUUUACGUGAUAAGUUGUAUAUUUCACGUGCAGUGUUGCAGGUUGCAUGUUUAACGUCCGUUGUUGCAUGUCCGACGUCCCGCUUGCAUGUUUGACUUUAGAUGUUGCAUGUUUUGGAUAAAGCCAAAAUAAAGAAUAUUCUCGAAUAUUCUCGAAUAUUCUCGUCCGUUUCAUGUUUGACGUCGAAGUUGCAAACUUUACGUGAUAAGUUGUAUAUUUCAUGUGCAGUGUUGCAGGUUGCAUGUUUAACAUCCGUUGUUGCAUGUCGGCCGUCCCGGUUUCAUGUUUGACGUUCGAUGUUGCAUGUUUUGGAUAAAGCCAAAAUAAAUAAUAUUCUCGAAUAUUCUCGUCCGUUUCAUGUUUGACGUCGAAGUUGCAAACCUUACGUGAUAAGUUGUAUAUUUCACGUGCAGUGUUGCAGGUUGCAUGUUUAACGUCCGUUGUUGCAUGUCUGACGUCCGAUGUUGCAUGUUUGGGAUAAAGCAAAAAUAAAGAAUAUUCUCGAAUAUUCUCGUCUGUUUCAUGUUUGACGUCGAAGUUGCAAACUUUAAGUGAUAAGUUGUAUAUUUCACGUACAGUGUUGCAGGUUGCAUGUUUAACAUCCGUUGUUGCAUGUUUGACGUCCAGCUUGCAUGGUUGACGUUAGAUGUUGCAUGUUUUACAUAAAGCCAAAAGAAAGAAUAUUCUCGAAUAUUCUCAUCCAUUUCAUGUUUGACGUCAAAGUUGCAUACUUUACGUGAUAAAUUGCAUAUUUAACGUGACUUCUUGUGGGUUUCAUGUUUUACGUCUAUUGUUGCAUGUUGGACGUCGGGGUUGCAUGUUUGACGUUAGAUGUUGCAUGUCUUGAAUAAAGCCAAAAUAAAUAAUAUUCCUGAAUAUUCUCGCUUGUUUUAUGUUUGACAUCAAAGUUGCAUACUUUACGUGAUAUGUUGCAUGUUUGACGUAAAAUAUUAUAGGUUUCAUGUUUAACGUCAGUUGUUGCAUGUUGGACAUCAGGGUUGCAUGUUUGACGACUAAUGUCACAUGUCUUAAAUAAAGUAAAAAUUUUAAAAAUUUCCCGCCCGUUUCAUUCACACACACCUUUCCCAAAAUUUUAAAAUUUAAAAUGGCGGUUCACCAUUACCUGGAUGUCGGUUCGCCGUGUUUGUCUAGUAACUUUGCAAUUGCUAUUAGUUAACCUUUGCCCUUAACGGAUCUUUAUCUGCAAUCAUAUACCUCUCUGGAUGAUAUUGGUUCACCAUUAUCUAAAAAAAAGUUCACCGUUCUCUUCCAGAAUCGAAUAAGCAAAUACACUUCUUUCUGGAAGAUAUCGGCUAACCGUUAUCAAAUUAACGAUUCAUUGUUAUCUUGUACAAUUAAAUUAACAUGUUUCUGGAAACUGUCGGUUAACUGUUAGCUCAAUAAUGGUUCAUGUCACUGUCCAGAAUUUUAAACACUUUAAAACGGUGUACUAUUUAAAUAUUAAUUAAGAUAAUAUAUUAAUUAAAAAAUUAUGAAAAAAAUACAGUUAAUAGUAACAAAAAUAGAAUUUUAUAAAUUAUAAAUUUGUAAAACAUAAUAGAAAAUAAACAAAUAAUUUGCUAUGGAAUUGGAAUUAUCAAAUCUCUUGCGUUUUAAAAUAUUCAAAGCUCUUGUAAUAUUAUAGAGUUAUAUAUAUAGAGACAUGCGUGCGUGCGUGCAUACAUACACAUGAAUAUUUUGAUCUUAUGUUUGUGGUCAAACCCCAUUAAUUACUCAUUAGAUUCAUGUUAUUUUACUAAACUAGAUUUUAUUAAUAAAGAUACAUUAAAUUGAAUUAAAUUCAACUUAUACCCAAUAAUUAUAUUUGGGAAUUUAUCUAACUUACUAAUUUUUAUUUAACUCAUACACAUUAUAAAUGUGUUCAUUAAAUUACACAUAUAAAUUUAAUUGUCUAACUAUUUUUUACAUGAUUGAUAAAAUGAUGGCUUUAAAAAGAACUUGUAAUUUGAAAAAAAAAUCCAAUUAAUUAUAAUAAAAUUACAUAUCUAUCCAAUUUUUUCCUUAUUUUAGUCUAAUAAUAGUUUGAAAAAGAAUUUGAUAAUUCAAGUGAAAAUCACUAUUCUUAUUUGUUGCAUAAUAAUAUUUUUUAGGUGUAUUUUGUUUGAUUUUUUUUUAAAACAAACUAAUCAUGGUGGAUAUUUUAAAUUACUGAGUCACAAAAAUUCUAAGCUCAAUUGAAAUUUACAAUCGUUUAUCAAUGAAAAAAUGCUAGCAAAACAAAAAAAUAUUGAGGGAUAAAAAGAAAAUAUGGUAGAAAGAAAAAGGCAACAUCACUAUGAUCAUUGUUAUAAGAAAAAUAAAGCGAAAAUCUUCCCAGGGUAAAUCCAUAUGCUAAACAUCCAAAAUUGACGCCGUAGAAUUUCAAUAUCACCAAUAACACCCCCCAAACCUAAAGAUUGCAACAAAUUGAUGGCACAUUUGAGGGCUUAGAACCUAGUAUAUCUUAAAUCAUUUUGGAUUAAAUUAUAUCACAAUUUUUUCAUUUUUUUUAAUUGUGUGAAAAAAAACUACAGUACACUUAUUUCAAAAGAAAUUUGUUAAUGAAAAACAAAAUAAUGAAAAUCAAGAGCACUCAUUUAUAAGAGUAGGCUAUAAAAAGAAAAAAAAAAAUUAUUAUAAGCAUAAUCUCCCAAAAAAUAAAAGCAUCGUCAAAUUGAGUUACAAACUAAUUACAAUUUCAUUCGUAUUCGUAAACCAAGAGGUUGCGCAACAUCAAAAAGUUUCCAGUAAAACACUUAUGCCAGAUAAUUUAUAGAACCAAGCAAUAUCCGGUUGAAUUCUCCCCUGCAAAUAAUUAAAAAUUUCAAGUUAAUUGAUAAGAUAAAAAUAGCCGUUAAUCAUAAUAAGAAGCAACAGCAAAUCACAAUAAGAAGCAACAACAAAUUACACUAAAAAAUAGCAGGAAAAAAGCACCAAAACAACAAAUAUAACCAAGAAACAACAAUAAAAAAAUGCCCAAAAACAGCAGAAAAAGAUGCCCAAAACAGCAAUAAAAAUUACCCUAAAACAACAGUGAAAAAUGCCUAAAAACAACAUAAAUAAAUCCAAAACAAAAGUGAAAAAAUUGCCUAGAAACAAUAGACAAAAGCCCAAAACAACUAGAAGACUACCUAAAACCAGCAGAAAAAAUCUAAGAUAGUAGCAAAAUCUUCCACUGGUAAAGAAAGAUAUGAAAGAAAAGAAAUAAAACUCAUAAAGAGUUAAAGGUAACAUAAUGAAGGCUCAAAUCUGAAGCUCCAUAUGUAAGAACAAACAUCCCUAUACAAACACCCCUAUGCAUGUAAUAGUCAUAUAAAACAUAAUUACAAUUACAGUCCAUCCAGCAACUGUUUGCUUGUUUCAUUAUAAAUGUCUGCAAUAGUCAUAUAAAACAUAAUUAAACACUUAAGCAGAACCCAUAAGAUAAAGUACAAAAAACAUGGUAAAAGAAAUAAAUGUCACAGCAGAGUCCAGAGAGUAAUAUAUCAAAGAGUCCAGCUCAAUCCAACCUCCAUAAAUUUAAAUAUGAUGGUGAAAGGAUCAUAAUUCAAACACACUCCAAAGAGAUGUAAUUUACAUUAGAUAACACAGCUUUUCAUAUUCUGAUUAAGCACAUGCCAAGUUAAGAAUAUAUUUACUUUUGAAAUUAGGAAAAUUACCACACAGUGAAUUCAGGCACACCAAUCAGAGCAGCUAUUGAUCAAGCAAUACUAAAUUGCACCUCAUUAUUUGAAAAUUUACAAGAAUUGCAUAUUUUAAAGGUCUACAUGACCAAAUACAAAGGUUGCACAAUACCUUGAACUCGUUUUAUAAAAGGAUAACUGGCUGCUCCACCCUUUUUGGCAAGGCUGAGUUUAUUUCAAAGUGCCAACAUCAACAAGGUUUUGCCCACUAAUAGCCAGAGAACUCUGACUAAAUUGCAAUGAUACAUAAUCAAUUGAUGACUGAAGUGUGGAUAGAACUGGCACCUCAUCAGGUGGGACAUAUUUGAGAAUCAAUACAGAAAUAUAUAUAGAAAAAAGUGAUAAGAGAAAUAUAAAUACAAUUGAAAGGAACAAAUGGAUACCUCCUUGAUUCCCACACACAGGAGUCCAGUAACAAAAAGUACAAUAAUUGCAGCACAGGGAUCAACAAUAAUGUCAAGCCCAGGAAUUUCUUGAUGAGCCAAAAAGAAAGGAAGAAUGCACAACCUAUAAUCAUUAAUAACAACAACAUAAGAACAUAAACGUUUAAAUUGCAUAGGCAAUUGUAGACCUCCAUCAUAAAAUAUAUGAAUUCAAAUCAAUACAAAGAUGAUUAGUUGUCAAAAAGGUAACUCAUAGAAAAUAAGGGAAAGGAAAAAGUAAACAAGCUAAAUGAACAAACAAUACAAUUAAACCAUUCCAAUUUAGUUGAUAGUGCAAAACACAUAUGACUCAAUAGUAACAACUAAAGUAAAUAAAUAUACAAUCAAAGCUCGAUAAAAUUCACCAGACCAGAUUCGGGUAUAUGCCACGAGGAACAGCAGACCCGCCAAUUGUGUACUCAAGUAUCAGAGCUAGCCAAUCAACCACCUAACACUGCCAAAAUACAACAUCAACUAAGUUAAAUCAAUUUAUUAGACCAAAACAUUAAUAACGAUUACUAUGCCCCAGCUAAUCACUAGUUUAUCCCACUUUAGAAACAAGAUCCAAUUAUAUGAAUCAAUAAACUACAUCUCUAAGAAAUGACUAUUACGAGUUAUACCAGUAUUAAAGGUAACAAGGACUUACCCUUCUCCAACACAUAUGUAUGAAUAAUGAUAGGCACUCCCAGCAGAUGGCCAACGACUUGCAAGCUCAGCAUAGCAAAAGGCUGAAAAAGCAGAAGCUAUUCCAGCUAUAAGGAAACGAAAGGGUGAGUGCCGGUCCUGAAUGCUCUCUAGCAACUGUUCCAACAAGAAUAUAUGCUCCAGCCCCAAGUGUUGAGUCAACACCUAACCAGAGUUUGUACAAGAAAUAAAUAGUAAGAUCCAUCUUAAAAAAGAAAUUCCGGAAUUUAUUAUAUCACUGCCUAAUAAAGAAAUAUUGAUUAUAUGAACUGCAAUCAAAAACGAAAAUUUUUAGAGCAAAACCUAUCACAAUAAAUAAGCAACUAAUCCAAGCUCCAAGACCAUAGUCUACCCAAAACACUUAGCCAUUUAAAGAGAGGGGAGGGGGAAAGCCUAAUAAUCACACACACCCAUCAUGAAAUCUUGAGUUUCCUGACGAGAAUCUAACAAAAUGCUCAAGAACACUUAAAGCCAUAGAAAAAAAAAUAUAAAAUUAAAUUCAAGAUCUGUUUCAUAAGAAUUUAACCAAAAAUCCAAAUUCUUAGAUAUUCAAUAUGGAAAGCAAAAACCCAUAUUCUUAAAAAUUAGAAAUUUAACCAAAAUAAAAAAGAUUUAGAAAGAAAAAUAUCUUUUGUUCAUUACGAGUCAUCUUCCCAUUGAGCUCAUGUAGGAUUUUGAGAGAGAGAGACCAAAUUUGAAAAAUUAGUGCUUUCAGAGAGAAAUGCAAAUUCCAAAAAUAAGAAAUAAGACAAAAUAAAAUAUAAAAAAAAUACCUUUUAUUCAUUCGGCGUUGCUCCCCAGCGAGCUAAUGUACGGCUUCAGGAGAGAAAGAUCAAGUUUGAAAAGUUAGGGCUUUGAAGGAGAAAGCCAAAUUUUAAAAAUUAAAAAUUUAAUAAAAAAGAAUACCUUUAUUCAUUCUGAUUCAUGCCUCCCACUGAGCAAUGUAGGGCCUGAAGAGAGAUAUCAAAUUUGAGAAUGAAAAAAUUAGAGAUAUCAAAUUUGAGAAUGAAAAAAUUAGGGCUUGAACAUAGAUAGGCCAAUUUUGAGAAUGAAAAAUUUAGGGAUUUGAGAGACCGAAUUUGUCAACCAGAGAUUUCAGAGAGAAAAUAUCAUCGUUGAGAGAGCGAUUAGAUUUUAGAAUGGAAAAAUUUUAGGGAUUUGAGAGACGAAUUUGAAAAAAAAAAGGAGGAUUUAAAUAAAUGAUAGGUGUAUUAUUACCUAUCAAUCAUGACAAUAUCUUAAUCUGGUUUAGUUCAACUUAUAAAAUUUCUUGAGAUGUACAAGAGAUCUUUUUGUUUACUUUUGAGUUAAGUAUUUUUUUA